rnacentral:lncRNA from 1 species
AUGAGAAAGAUAGUAGUUACAACAGAAUUAAAAGCUUGGUAACGGAGGAAUUAAAACAAUAUUUCAGGCCAGAAUUUCUGAAUAGAUUGGAUGAGAUGAUAGUUUUCCGGCAGCUUACUAAGCUGGAAGUGAAGGACAUAGCCGACAUUAUGUUAAAGGAGGUCUUUGACAGGUUGAAGAAAAAGGAAAUAGAGCUUCAGGUUACAGAGAGGUUUAGAGAUAGAGUUGUCGAGGAAGGUUACAACCCAAGCUAUGGAGCAAGGCCACUAAGAAGGGCAAUCAUGAGACUCUUGGAGGAUAGCCUAGCUGAGAAGAUGCUUGCGCGUGAGAUUAAAGAAGGAGAUUCAGUUAUUGUCGAUGUGGAUUCAGAUGGCAAUGUUACCGUUCUCAAUGGCACCAGUGGUGCUCCACCAGAGUCAUUGCCAGAGCCAAUUGCUGUGUAGAUGGAAGCUUGCUGGUUGACUUCUAUGAAUAUUGUUGUUUGUACCGCUGCUUUGAAAUUGAAUUGGGUUCAAAUAUAUCCCGGUUUAGGAAAGUGAUUGGCGGUAGUACUCUUGCUGGUUCGUCGACUAAUGGUUAAAUAUCAUCUAGGGUUGGGUCACAAUGUUGCAUUUUCUUGGCCAGCAAAGAUUCAAAGAAAAUGUGUUCCGACUGUUCCAAGUAAUAUGAGAAAUACAGUGCUAGGGGAGUUGAAUCUUCUGAUACUAGUAAUGAAAGUAAGGUAGAUACUCGCCUUUGAAUGGCUUUCCUCUUGUUUUUAGGAUCUUGAAACGUGUGGAUCAUACGAUAUUAGCAUUUUCUUGUUUUUGGCCUUGUUUUUAUUCCUUUCCGGACUUCUCUUCCUAUGAUGCCUAUUUUCUGUGCUUUUCGAACUCUGGAGUCCAUUCAGGUUGCAGUUUUAUAAUGUCCGCAUGCUUGUUAAUUUAUCUUCCAAGUGCAACAGCCGUGUUUUAUUGAGACAGCAAAUGGCAGUAAUUCCUGGCACCUGUUUCGAAUAUUUUUUUUCCAAAUUAACUCAACAAUAUGCUGUGUUGCUCUUGUUCUCCUGCCUGGUACGUCAAGUGGGAACUCAUCUAGUAACCCGAAGUGUUGUAGUUGUAAUCUCGGAGGGACCAUAAAAUUACAGUUCAAUUGUUAAGCGGGUAGAGCAUGGCUGCUAAUAAAAAGCACCGGAUUUAAAUUUGAAAAAAGGAGUUGUACGUUUCUCAUCGCCUUUCUCGAAGCGAAAUUACUAUUAAACUCGUGUUCUGUAAGAAGGCAAAAUGAAGAAUGCUGGAAGAGCACCCUAUGGUCUACCAAUUACUUAAAAGCUAUUCAUGCUCUGUUGAAAAAAUUUGUUGAUCAUUUGACCAAGAAACUCAGUAACAUAGACGAAGCCUGAGGACUAAUAUCACUUCUUACUGAAUUUUACAGGGUAACUUCUUCGAUUGGAGUACUUCAGAACACCAUUACUGGCGAUUAGGCAGUUUUGCCCGUGAAACAUACACUAAAAAUGAUCUACAUACAGAAGCAUAUGUUUCCGUUUCCGUCCACCUAAACCCAAAAAAAAAAAGACCUUUCCCUUCCUCCUUUGAAAACGUCAUCUAAGCUGAUCUAAUACUUGCAAUCCACCCUACCUCUAUAGUCAAUAAUCCCUCAAGCCCAAUCAUACAAUGUCAGUGCUCCAACUCAUCUAUCAUAGACCGCGAUUGCCUUUCUGUGGGGCUGACGCUUCCACCUCGACUAAUCUUCAGUGCAUCCAGUGCUUUCAGUAUUUCCAUUGUCAUGGCACUGUCUACACUCCCAGAUGAAAGUUUCUUGUGUGACUUCUGCAAAUGAAGCUUCAGUGAGCUACUGCUCAAGCCAGCGUUCUUGCCGCAUAUGGGGCAAACCUUCAUUGUUGGUUUUCGUUGUUGCCAUUCCAUUGAAACUUUACCAUGCAGUUUCAAAUCUAGGUCCAGAAGAACCUUUGCAAAUCCAUCAUUAGGUUGGGCUCGACGGUGCACUCGUUUCAAGGCAUUCCAAGCUUCCAGUAAAGUGUAGUUUCUGCAACCAAAUGCAAAUGAAAAUUCCUUUUCAAAUCAAUACUAUUCAACCUCCCAAGUCAAACAUUAAUUGUAAAAUACUGACCAGUAAUAUUUGCUCAAUUGUUUUCAAAGAUAGUUACUGCAACCCAGUAAUCUGACUGUUCACUUCCUAUAAAGCAAGGGAAAGAAACAAAUCUCUUGGUUGCACUAAAUAAGAAAAAGGGGUAUAUUGCUCAGAAAUGAGCAGCUUGCUGGUGCAUAUCUCAGUUUCGACAAGGGCAUGCUUACCAUUUUACUGAAAAAGACAUAUAACCACCUUCAAAAGGAGACUAGCUGACAUUAGGUUAGAUUUAGAUUAAAGAUUUCAUCAAGGUACGUUUUGUCAAAAAUUAUCUAGUGUACCAUUCAGGUGUGACAAUUUUUAAAUGAUGGCCUAAGAACUUACUUCCUGAGCAUAAGGUAAGCAAGAACUAGAGUAGCACUCCUGCUUUUGCCUUCAAAGCAAUGAACCAAAACCUUUCCACCCGUUUGUUCAACAUGAUCAAUAAAAUCAUGUGCUUCUUUGAAGAUAUCACUGAUCAGUGUAUCUUCAUUGUCGCAGACCUGCCAGUGGAUAGCCAAUCAACAUUAUGAAGCAUUUUGCUCCCUAGCUUCUUCAACAGCUCACAAGUAAAAACAGAAAGGCUUGCUCUAAAAAACCAAAACAAGAACAAAAUAACACUUGGAAUGUCUAAAAGUAUCAUUAAGCAAACAGUUUACAAAAUAUUAAUAAAUUUAUACAUAAACAAACAGUUUGAAAAAAAUUUCCAGAUAGACUAGCAAACAUCAAUAAUUGCACAAUCUCACAAAUAAACAUAAAAGAUUGGCAACAGAAUAACUUUUAAAUAGAAAUACAGGAGAAACUAUAUUUUGUAAAAACAAUAAGAUAAUUUCCUAUAUAUAUAAUAUAAUGGCAACCCAAAGAAAUUUCUAGUCAACCAAAAGUAUUGGACUGUUUUUAUAUCUAAUUCAUGGUGGCCAAAUGUCUGAUAUCAGAAACUCAGGACCCAAGAAGUGAGAAAAGAUAGGUGUAUUAAGCAAAUGAAGGUGACUGAAUUUAAGCUGCGGGUAUCCUUACUACAAGAAGUGAGUGGAAGGCAGAGAAUGAUGCCAUUCAUCCUUGCAAUAAAAUAAGAUUCAACCACACUUACAGAAAAAUUCUUGUACUCAAAUAACUCAGGGAACUGAGAAUCUGACUGUCCAAUUUCAUUAGCACACAAGCACAAGAUGUGUGUAAUUCCUAAAUGCUGCAGAGUGUACAACGAUCUUGCAGCAAGGGCCCCACCUAUGUACAGGCUGCCUGAAAUUGGAGAUGGUUUUUCUGUGUUUGCAGCAUCUGAUAUCAAUGAUAUCCUCUCAAGAAUGUGUUCAAGCCUGACCUGUAAUUUUGUAAGAGUAUGAAAGUCAUAUCAACCAUUAAUGCAUAAGGUCCUAAUGAGACACAUAAGCAUCACAGGAAACAAACUAAAGUCUUAUGGCUACCAUGAUAGCAAUAAAAAUGAGGAUCCUAAAAUAAUACAAAAUUACCUUCAGCUCAUACGCAUCAACAACACAGUUAGUAUCACUACCCUCAAAGAAUCCUGUAUUAAAAUUGUUCUCCUGGCACAAUUUUAUGGUGUCAUUUCUUAGCAUUUCAUUCCACUGUUCUAAUUCCUUGUUUAAUUCCACAUCGACCUGAAACAGGAAAAGCAAAGAAUCUGUUAUGUAAAAAUAAUAGUGUUCCCAGCCUUAAGGAUUUUCUGAUUCAUACAAAAGCACAAAAAUUUAUCAGAUAUCAGGUAUCACACCCUAAAAUAGAAUCCCCACAGGAAUAUCCACACUUACAUUCUCAUUUGUUAAAACAAUGGAUAAGGAGUUCAGAUACAACAUACUCAUUAGGUUCCAUCAUCAGGUCAUGUUCAAUCAUAGAUGAACAGAGGCAAACAAACAAUAGUCAAUAAUAACAUGGGCAAGAUAGAAGCAUAUCUGUUGAGCAAAAGUUUAGCAAAAAUGAAUGACAAAACUGAUGCAGCCCUAAAAGAAUGAGAUUGACUUUAAUAAGAAAAAAAUAAAAAAUUUGUGCCUAGAUGUGUAAUUAAGUACAAGAACAAGUACCUUAACGAAUAAAUUUCAGUAACUUAAUCCGAUAUUCCAUUGCAAUACGAGGAUUUUCAAGAAUAAUCGAAGUGUUUCUGUGAAAAAAUAUGAACAAGCACAAUACUACACUAAGAUAAUCUGACAAAACAUCAUGGCACAGCAGAGAAGCACUAAAUAUGGCCAUCUGCACUCACUAUGGUAGAAUUCAUCAUGUAUUCUGUUAACAAACUGUUAGACUCUUUAAUGAAAACUUCAAUUUUAUUCGGUAGAUAUCAGACCUUAGCAAAUUUGUGAAAGUCACGGAGCUUUGACGUCAAACGCAGGCUGUGUAUGGGUUCCCCACCCCCUUUGCUGGACUUUCCAUGCCAACCAUCACGUGAGUGUGGAGAGGCAGAAUCUGGGCUAUCUCUACAUCCUGAAGAUUUAGAAGCUGUGCUGUGUGAUUCAUACUCAUUUAGAUCAGAAUUGCUCUCACUUACACUUCGUUCCUUGCUUGAUGGAGAACGCAAAUGAAAGCCAACUCCACCAGCCUGUGAUGGUGAUUGAGGAACCAUAAAAUCUUCUUGGUCCAAAUCCCCAGAAGCUUUAUUUGUGAUAUUAAUGAAUGUUCGCAACAGAGUAUCUAGUUUUUGGUGAAGGGUGAGUAGGAAAAUAUGAAAUCCUUGCAAGUCUCUCAAAGCUGCACGGAACCCACUCCUGAAUGCAUGAAUAACUGAAGUCGUGUCAGUCAAACUUGAACCAGUCAUUGCAUCAGAAUCUUCCUGCGGACAACCAAUCCUCCCAGCACUUAAUUCAUAUAAGAGAUUUGAGGCAUAUUCAGGACUGUUGAUGAGGAGCUCAACCAACUUAGGAUAAUUUUCUUGAUCAUUUGCACGUUUUCCAGCAGGGGGCCUACGAGGAACCCCAGAGUCUAUGGCCACAAUAUGAAAAUGGGGACCAGUUAUUUCAGUUGAUGUUUGAAUUUUGAUACUGACAUUGCUAGAUAUUGGAGAUUCAGUGAUAUCAGAAAUAUCAGAACUCUGCGACACCAGUACUGAACUAGGAGGAGUCAACCUACUAUCCACUGAAGUUGCCCUUCUUUCUUUCUGAAGUGCUCGGAUGACUUUUGGACGAUAUCUAUUAAUUGCAGAAUCAAAUGCGACCUCCAGCGCAUCCAUGUUUGCAGUAGCUAUUUUAUCAGCCAACAAUAAGUUUGCAGAAUUUCCACGCCACCGAAGACUACGACAAGGAAGUCGGUCUUCAUUUCUUAUGACAAGGUCCAACAUCAAAACCCUGCCAAGGGCUGCUGCUAUUUUUUCUGCAGCCUCUCGUGACUCAAAAGCAUUAGAGCUUUCUAACAGAGGAGAACCAUGUAUGUAACUGCAGAUAUUUAAAACAUUAAUGAGGGGAUAAAAAACAAGUGAAUGUGGAAAUCAGAUUUCAUGUUCAUGGAUUUAAAAUGAAAAUGAUUUACCAAAACUUGUGAAUUCUGAUAUAUUUGAUCAUCAUAUAGGUUAACUAGGUAGGCAAGCAUUUGGCCAUUUCAUUAACAGAUAUAUACUUCUCUAAAUGCUACCUAUAUGGUCCUCCAACUAAAACAUUCUCCAGAUCAGGCGCUCACACAUGGUAAUUCAUAUAUCAAAAAGAAAUCCUAAUUUCCUAUUAAAGUAAUAAUUAGAGGAUACAGAUGCACCAGGCAGAGAGAGGAUCAAGAAUGCAUUUCCAUCUUUUGACACUGCUAUCUAUUCUCCAUUUUAACCUUUUGUUCUUUUUCCUGUACAAGCUUCACUGUAAAACACUGCAGUAUUACUCCUAUGCUACACUGAACCUGUAAAUUUUUUGAUUUUCCAUUUACAAUUAAAGAUUGGAUAUGUCUCCAUGGGAGCCUAAGAGCCAAGUUAUCCUUUCCCGUGCAAAUCCAACAAAUGCGUCAACACUUGGGCUGAAAUUGAAUACCUCAUUUAACUUCAGGGGAUGAAAUAUUUUGAUUGAGCAAUGUGCCAAAAGAUUCAUAACUUAGGCUGCAAAAAUACAAUUACUUUCUUCUAUGCCAUACUUUCUUGAUUUGGUAGCCCAUAUCUAUGAGAACACUACUUACACAUAUCUACAAUCCAAAGAAAGCAUGAACUCUCCUUGACUCCACUUUCACUUUCCCUAUUAAGUGGUCCACAAUAGCAGUAUUCUGAAACUAAAUCUUUCAUGUCCAUCUUAGCAAGCACAGACAGGCCACUAAGACUAUAAUAAAAAAGAAAUGAUUGUGCAACUAUCAGACAUGAAAGGAUGAAAAUCUUCCAAGUUAGCAAUUUCAAUGUGUAGAAAUGGGUUAUAAUUUAUGAAACAAAAUGUUGUCAUUUUGUGAGUAUUAAUGUAAUAUAACAAGUCAGGUCCUUCUACAUACUUCAUUAGCAAAAGGCAUCGACUGAGUUCAAGAGCUUCUAGUAGCUCUGAACACAUAAUUUCACCAGCUUCAUCUCCUUCGGAAAUUGCAGCAUCUUUUGCUUUUUCUGCAGCUUCCUUGAUCUGUAGCCACUCAGAACUACAAUGGUGAAUAACUCUGGCCUGCGAUUUUUAAUUUUGCAAAAACAUCAAACUUCUGACAAAGAAACUAGUUACAAAAUAAUUACUCUAGUAAGAAGGUACAACUUGUGGAAUUCGAACACCUAGCCACUUUGCAAAUUCAUAGCCAAGGCGUUCCGAUUGAGUGGCCAUCCUAGAAGAUGCUAUCUUUAUAACAGCUGCAGCCUCUUUGAAAGAAGAUUCAUCAUUUUCAGGUUGGUUGAACAGUGCAAAAAAGACUACUCCCCCAGAAUUUACAGUGACCUACAACAUGAAAACCGAUGAGACAAAAAUAUGAAAAAGGUAAUAGCAUAGACUUCCAUUUGCCACACUGAAGUAGAGCAGGAGGAGAGAAGAUUUAGAAAAGAAACAAACAACACAAGAAAGAAAGGAUUAUCAAGAACACCUAUGUUUUCAUGAAUGCAUGUCUAAAUAGUUUGGUGAAAAUCUAAAAUUUACAUAUCAUCACUAGAAACACCUCUAAGAUAGAAGAAUAUAGAUGAAAGGAAAAUGGUAAAGAGGCACUGCCAGGAAUGCACCAGGUACAUGUCCAGUGCCCUCUACACAUUACCAACGUUUAGUUAGCAUUAAGUAAGAGAACCAAAAUUUUGCAGAAGGUUUUCCAGCACAAUUUUCUUGUGCAGAUGUAGUUUUCAGUAAGAGAAAAGAAAGGGAAAUUUGACCAACUACUGGGAAAUUAGAAGCGUAAUUGAGGAGAGAGACUUGGGCAGAGAAAGUACUUGUACAAUUCAUGACCACUACAUACACAAUCAGAGACUACAAGAAAUUAGAAGGGUGAUCAUUACAUACCUUUGCAGCUUCUUUUUCUUCUACUAGGGAAGUACAAUAAACAAACAUUGUGCCCUCCAGUCCCCCUUAUUCGCCACUAAAAAAUAUCAACUGCCUUGUGUAUGAGCCUAUAGUCUGGGGAAGGGAGUGGAGGGUGUGUUCGAUUUGGAAGCUUUAGACAAGACAUAGGAACAUUAAGUCUGAAUAUCUCCAAUCAGUUUGUUUGGAUAGUAAACUUAUUCCAAAUAAUAUUUUGCUUGCAUCAUAAACACAUUUUCCAACCCACCUUUUUAUCUCACAUACAUCACAUUACAAAAAAUGUUACAGUAAUUAUUUCAAAUAAUAUUUCAAAUAAUACUCUAUCCAAACAAACCCUUAUCUCAGGCAACUGUUUAUGUUACUAUUCAUACAAGUUCAAGUACUUAGACAACACCACCUCUGUGCAUUGCUUCAAUGAGAAAUAAAAGACGGUAGAUGAUAUUUUGAUCCAGAAAAGGAAUCACAACCAAAACAAUACAACUCCUGAUUUGGAAGUUAUUCCAACUGGAGUCAAAUUCCUGCUAAAACUUUGAAAAAAGAAGUACUGUAUUUGAACUAAUGCUUAACUUUUGCUCACCUCUACUGCUUUAUUCAUUUCAUCCUCCGAUUGUUCAGCAGUACCACUACUAUGUUCAGUGUGAUGAAGUGAAGAAAGCAUGUUCCACGAAAAAGAGCUUGAUUCAAUAUCCAACAUGGCAGCCUUGCCAAGUCUUUCCCACAAACUUACUUCGGUAGCUUGCUCAGGAGGAGAACUUCUAACACCAGACUUUGACUCUUCCGAGCUGAAUCAAGAUUAGAUAUAACAUAUAAGACAUCGGCUACAAAUUUCUAAUACCGGACACUCAACAUUAAACACAUUAAAAGCAGAAUACAGGAGAAACUGGCGCACUGAUGCAUUCUAGAACAAAUUCAGUAAUCAUCACUCAUACAUAUUAGCACCAACUUGUUGCAUAAGGCCAAACAAUACAAUCUAAGAAAUCAAGACAGGAUUCCAAAGUUCAUUGAAGAGCAGUGGAUAUCAAAUAUCAACCUCAAGGGCAUAAUAGCUGCUCUGUGCUGUCUGUGUGGGAACCCUGAGGACCGGUACUUCCCGCUCCGCUUGCGAACAAGCUCAAGCCAUUGCGCAAACCGGUAUGCUGGCCCCGCUGUGAUGUCCCCCAGCAUAUACAAGACCUGCAAAUCUAGCACCAGCCUCACUAGAAACUCACCAAACAACUCGAAUUUCUCGCAAUAAUCAAUAAAUAUUAGCGAAAAUAAUUCAACAACUGACCCGAGAAGUGACAGUGAGGGGCAAAGGGGCCUCGGGCUCCUCAGAUUCCAGAUCAAGUUGCUUAUCUUCUUCUUGCUUCUGCAUAUAUCCUUGUAUAUACGAAUGUGAGUAGUGGGUUUUAUAACUCUAUAUCUAUAAGAUACAAGCAAAACCCAGAUCUAAUUCAUCCUACCAUAAAAUUUUGACCAGCACAUACUACUACUAAAUUCCACAAUGUAAUGAUACAAUCACUUUCUGUGCACGUUACUACUCAUAUUUAUAUCCAUUCUAAUGAAAGAGAAAGAAAGCGGGGGGUAAUGAUUUAAAACUACUAAAAAGGUUUCUACUUUUUCUGUCGUAGGGGAGAGAGCGGAACACUUUACCUGAAAAUGGUGAAGGUUUUCUAUCUUCUCGCUGUCCAUUUCUUUUUCUUGGACAAUGAUAAGUCUUGCUGGCCCUUUUUUCCCUUUGGUGGGGGACUUUUGGAAACGACCAGAUCUCGUCUCCCUUUGUUGCCACUUUUCCCGCUUUUUUCUGGGGCUGGUUGACACUGAAGCAUUUUUAUAGCGAGAAAAUGAAGAGCAGAAAAGGAAGGGGUAGCGGUUUCUUGGGAGUCGAAGAUUGAAUCAUUGAAGUGAAAAAAGUGGAACCGCGGAAGUGAGAAAUGGAAAGGCUCUCGCUAGUAGCAGGUGAGGAGUGAGGACGCGACCCCUCUCCGCUACAGUGAGUUGGUUUGGAUGCUCUUAAAAGCGUGAGAAAUGAAAAGAAAGCAAAGAAAAUGGCAGGAUUCUAUCUCUCCCUCUCUCUCUAAUACUAGCUUAGCUAGUUUGGGAGUUUAGGUUAAAAAAGAAAAGGAGAAAACCUACGAAAGAAAAGUAAAGAAGAGAAAAGAAAAAGAAGAUAGGAGAAAGGACGAGGUUUGAUUUUAAUAUUGUUCGAAAGUUCAGGAAAAAAAUAAAAUAGGAUAUAUGUAUGUCAAUGAAAUUUUAUGUUUAAUAGGUAUUUAUUGAUAGAAGUGACAUUUUAAAAAUUGUUGUAGAGUGUCUCUUAACUUUCCAUCCCUCACCACUCAUAUUUGGGCAGGAAAAAUUUUUUAAAUGUAGCUGCUAAUUUGAUCCAUCUAAUUUCUUUUCAUUUCUUAGCUUCUCUGUCGCUCCAAAACUCACAAACAUCAGAAAAUAGCUACUUUCCCUCACCUUCGCUUCUUUUCCUGUCAAAUCUAGGCCAAACCAAGUAUAAAAGCUAAGGUGGGAUGAAAAGGAGAAGGAAGGAAAAGUCAAAAACUCAUACUGUAACCAAUUAUCAUACUACCGGGUAUGUCCUUCAAACAAAAUUCAAAAAGAUAAAAUGAAUGAGCACUAUAAUAAAAGAUUGAAUCAUUGAACUGGAAAAAAAAAAUGGCACUAUGGAUUGAGGAAAGGGAAACCACAUAAACAAUCCCUCACAUAUUAUAUGUAUUUAUCUCUUGUUAAUUUCUCAUUUUAAAAAUGAAGAAAAUUUGUCUCUCACAUGUGCAAAAUAUCUUUGUACAUCCUGACGGUACAGAAUUGAUUCAAUUUUAAACUAGUUGAUGGCAUGCCGAAAUAGGUCAGAGUUUGAGAAAACUGAACUGCUACUCUGGUGUGCAGGUUAAGAGAUUUGAUCCCUUGAUCUACACUCAAAAAGUGUUUUAAACCUCUCCCAGGUGGCCAACUAUUCUAGAAAUAGUUGAUUAGCAUAGUUAUUAGUUGUGAGAAAGUAUCCACUCUUUUUUAAGUCAUAUUGGAGAAAGCCCAUUCAGUUGGACGAAAUACAUUUUACUUCUAAUGAACUUUCAAUUGUAUGAUUUACAUUAUCUAAAAAAUACAUGUUUCCACUGUUUUAAAUUUAAGUCGUGUACCUUAAGAGGGGGUUUCUGAUAGGUCUAAGAUGUGCACUAUAGUGGCAGAAAAGAGAUUUUUAAUGACUCUUUAUGUUCUAUAAAGAUAGUGCUUAGUUGAGAGGCCAUUUUAUAAUUUUUGAAUUGCAUUAAGGCAAAGUAUGACGAAAAUCUUGGUCUGUUCUGAAGGACUGAAAAUAAUACUUCUGUCAUUGCUAUUUUAUGUUAUGAAGAUUGGAAUGCUUUAGAUAGUUUAUGGAACUGAUGCUAAUCACAUCAUUCUAAUCUGAUACAAUUUCUGUAAAAGCAAAUUAACAAUGGUGCACAUUUGCUUUUCUUAUGACUAGUGAAGGAUUUAUUUGCAUUUAACGCACGCAAUACUAGCAGGUUAAUAUGCUUUAAUCUUAGGUUACGAAAAACCUUUCCUUUGUUCUUGUAUUGAGUUUUCUAGGCCCCCAUCUCUCUGUGUUUGGAGUGUAAACUAGUUGUUCUUCAAAUUUCUGGUUGUCCAUUAUCGGCCAGCUUCACUUGGAAUUUGGCUGCUGUCCGGUUGACGGUUGAUCUUCUCUAAAUACUACUACUUCUCUCUGCAGAGUGUAGACUCAGAGGAUGAAAUAUCUUGGACGCCAUGGCAGCAGGUUGUCUACAUUUCUCCAGGCCAAUUGCUUUAGCCAUUACGAGCUAGAUGCUAUUUAUGCAUCAUGUUGGAUGAUUUAAGAUCGGGUUUGCCGUUAGUCAAGUUUGUUUCCACGAUUUACUGCAUUUGUACAUAACGCAUGCAUCCUGGUUCAUAUUAUUGUAAUUAGCCACCAUAGAUAUAUAGUUUUUACGUGGGGCUUUUCAUCUGACCAUGCCUCUGCAGUGUUCCAGUCAUGGAUAAUAUUUCAGUUCAGUCAGGUUCUCCAUCCUCUUUUGCCUCCAUGUCGAUUAAUAAACUUCUUCACAGUGGGGUUGAAUCAUGCUGGUUAACUGCUGGAAAGGCAGCCCAAGAAUGGACUCGGGGCACGGACGGUUGCAGGUGCAACCGUCCCUGCCAAUUUUAGUCAUUAUCAACUGCGCGUAACUUUCUUUGUACAUCGUGUAACUUUUUUUUCACAUGAUGUAUUUUCACAACAGAUAGUGGUAGGCCCCACACUUGGCGCGGAAAUCGAGUUACAUGGUGUAAUCUCAGUCGCACAAAAUUUUGAGGGCCAAUCUUGACCCUUAACUGUGCAGGGACGGUCAUACUCCCUGCCCCAAAUCCGCCCAAGAAUACAUUAUCUGUCGUACAACCAACUGUACUUUCUAAUGACAAAAGGUUGGCAAUUGUCAGCUGUAUCUGGAAAAACUAAUAAGAGACAUUAUUAUUGGAGAUGACCUUCAUUUUUCUCUGAUUUUUUUCCCUCUUCUCUUCUUCCAUUCUUUAGGCUUAUUGCUGAUUUGCUGCUGAUAUAUGAUUGAGGUAUUUGCUCUAACAUUUUUCUUUUCACUAUGAGACUUAGCUAUCUUUCAACUAAACGUAACUAUUAUACCUCUGAAAUCUUCUAAUAGAUACUCCACAAUUCUCCAUUUUCUCUUCUUUAUUCUAAGUUUAGCAGUGCAAAUGGCUUGUGAAAGGAUUAUAUAUAUGCAAUGACUAAUAUCUCUAUUAUACUGCCAUUAUGUACAAUCUAUUAGCAUUUUGUUUCAAACUUAUUUAUGCCAGUCAAAAGAAAUUUUGCAUGACAUUGUUGUCUUAACUUGAGUUGUGCUGCUUUAUCCGCUUUGAAAGUAUUCUACUGAAAGAACUUAGAUAUAUUUUUCCACCGUGCAAGCACGGUGCUGUUCCACUAUCUAAAAAAAAUGUGUUUUGAUGGAUGAGGAGGUCAUUUACAUUGUGCACCUGUUCGCAGGUUAUCAUUUGAUAACAUAUCUACCUGAUGCAAAUAUUGAUCUGACAGUGCCCCACUUCCCUUCUCAAACAGAUGCGGAAUAUUUGGCUAGCUCUCUGUUUGCAGUGUCCUUGAAGAGCAGAUCUGUGAUGGGUCUCAAAUAAUGGACCUUCAAUUGGUUAAAGCAUAGUAAUGUUUCACUUGUUUCAGCUGUUGCUCAGAUUCCUGUACGUGCAACAUACAUAAGCACACCUAUUUCGUCAUUUGCACACCUUUUAGAAGCUUCAAGGGUUUGCUUUAGCUCACAGUUCCAUAUUCAAGAAGAAGAAGAAGGAAAAAAGUAUUCAUGCUGCUAUGUGCACUGUAUAUUGAACAGGCCGGCCUCUAACUUUCUGGGGCCUUUGCGCAGAGUUUGCACUUUAUUUAGCUUUGAUGAAGUUUGGGGUAAGCAGGAGCAGGGGUCUCACCUUUUUUGUGUCAUAUGGUAAUUCAUUUCCAUUUCAGAUUUGAGUUUCCUUGGGUUCAAUCAAAUCCACCAUGGUCAGAUUUUCUGUCAAUUGUUCUUUUGAUUGCUUACCUAUUGUGUUUGUUGAUUGGUGUUAUCUGUUUUGUUUUGCGUUAUUUAGUAAUUGACAUCAGGACUGCAGAAAAAAUUUUGUUAACUAAAGCUGUUACAAGAGGUAAGCUGUCACGAUUGGAAGACAAUUGAGAGGAUUUUUCUGAAGCCUUGUAGGUCAAUGUGGUUGGUGACUCUGAGCUUGAAAUAGUUGCUAUUGCUUCCGAGAAGGAGCUUAUGGGUGCAAAAUGCUCGUAUACAUCACAUCACAAAAAGCGUUUCAGUCAUUAUUUCAAAUAAUUCUCUAUCUAAACAAAAUUUUCAUCUAGAUAAUAGCAGCAUUAACAUAUAGUUAAUUGUUAUGAUACUAGGAAAGUCCACGUGCAACGCACGUGUAAUCUUGAAAAAAAAAAAACUUCUCUUUUUAAUUAUGUACCACUUAUUUGGUUAUUUUACCUUGCAAAUUUAUAUGUUAAGAAUUGUUACAUAAAAAAGUUCGUCAAUGCAUAGAAUUAUUAUUCAAAUACAACCUUAAAUGUGACAGAGAUAAAUAAAAAUAUAUUUUAUUUAAACAGAUACGACACUUAUAAAGAUAAAAUUCAAUGGUUCUUCAAAUAUGAACUAUCAUCUUAAUUAUAACCUUACAAAACUAAAUAGUUCAUUCUUACUAUCUAAUUCUUUUGCUGCAUUCAGCUUCACAUUGAUAUAUAAUCCCUUUGCCUUUUGACUAAAAACUUAUUUUGCCACAUUCCCAAGCAUUACGAUGUAACCUCAAAAACUGAUUUAGUUGUUCUUUGUGUAAAACCUUAAAAGUUUUAACUAAUGAGUUGAGACUUAGCAAAUAAAAAGAACUUCUCAGUUGAGACUUAGAAAUUUUGAAAGGUAUUAAAGCAUAUAUUUUAUUUUUUUUUUUGUAAAUAAAGCAUAUGAUGUUUAUUUCUUCAAUGCUAUAAAAGAGACAUGAAAAUAUCAGGAGAAAAAUGAUCAUUUAGUGGAAAGAGUAUUUCAAAGUAAUGGAUUUAAAUAUGUUAACUAUCCAAUGUCAUGAAAUCAUUUAUUUUUCCCCCUGCCAUAAUUGAGUGGUUAAUCAUACUUAAUUAUUACCAUAAAAAAAACUAAUAAAAAUGAUCCAUGGAUUAAAAUUUUUGUUGAAAGGAUUUUCACAUGUACAUUUGAAUUAGUGAGUUUCAUACACAACUGGUGCUACUAUAUACAACUGUGUGAUACUAUGACAUCAACGAAGAAACUCCUAAUAUUUUAUGUUCUGCUAAAUUCCACCACCAAGUGUCUGUGUCCCUGUCCCCCCUAUACUUCAUUUAUAGAAUAUUUUCUUCUUUCUCUUUAUAGAAUAUCUAAUCACAUGAUUGAGUUUAAGAAAGAUAUGCGCAUGUAUGAACCAAAUCAAGGUUCUCGACAGAACCUUGAUUUACCAUGCACUGGUACCGGUUACCGAUUCUGUUUUCCUCUCUUCAUUGUUUACCAUGUAGUAAAUCUUAAGGCACCUUUUAAGUUCAGCCAAGAGUUCAAAAAAAAAAAAAAAAAAAGGAGAGAGAAAUUAAGAUUAGUGACAAUUUGUUGCUUGAUAUUUUGUAUUUUAAUUUUCACAUUUUCUUGGCUUUCUUUGGUGAUUGAUUGUAGACUUUUUCCUUUUGUUGAGAGAAACAUGAGUGUUUUCCAUACUAGUUUCUGUUAAGUUGAAAAGCAUCAAAAUCUAUUAUUUCAUGAUGACAACUUCUUGAUUAGUUGCAAAAUCACUGAAAUGGAUCUUAGAAGUUGCAAUAUAGAUAAUAUAUAUAUUAAUAUGCAAAUUUACUGAAAAAAUGAUUUGAAAAUCGUCCGUUUGGAUUAGCUGUUUUUUGGGUUAUUUUUUAAAAACAACACUGUACCAUUUCGUUUUUGAAAUAUAAGUCCGUUUGGAUUAGUUGUUUUUUGAGUUGUUUUUCAAAAACUAUAUGAAAAACUUUUACUGUACAUAUUUUUUGGAUUAUUUUUAUAUGUAUUUUUAAAACAUAUUUUUGAGUAUUUUUAUAAUUUAUAAUUUUUAUAUUUUUAUAUUUAUAUACAUUUAUGCAUUUAUAAUACAUUUAUAAAUAAAUAUAUUUAUAUAUUUAUAUAUAAAUAUAUAAAUGUAUUAUAAAUGUAUUAUAUUAUAUAUAAUACAUAAUAUAAAUAUAUUUAUAAAUGUAUAAAUGUAUAAAUUAUAAAUGAAUAUUACAUAAAUGUAUAAAUUAUAAAUUUUAUAUUUUUAUAUAAAUAUGCAUUUAUGCAUUUAUAAUACAUUUAUAAAUAUUUAUAAAUAAAUAUAUUUAUAUAAAAAUAUAUAAAUGUAUUAUAUUAUAUAUAUUACAUAAUAUAAAUAUAUUUAUAAAUGUAUAAGUGUAUAUUAUUAUAAAUGUAUAAAUUAAUAUUAUAUAAAUAUAUAAAUUAAUAUAUUAGAAAUAUAUAUUAAUAUUAUGUAUAAAUCUAUUAAUAUAAUUAAUAUAGAAGUAUAACUGUAUUAAAAUUAUGUAGAAAUGUAAAAUUAAUUUUAUGUAUAUUAAUAUAAAUGUAUUAUAAAUGUAUUAUAUUAUCUAUAAUACAUAAUAUAAAUGUAUAUUGUAAAUAUAAAUAAAUAUAUAUAUUAUGUAUAAAUGUACAUUUAUAUAAAUGUAUAAUAUAUAUAAUAUAUAAUAUAUAUUAUACUAUAUAUAAUUUAUAUAACAUAUAAUAUUUAUAUAAAUAUAUUAUAAAUAUAUAAAAAUAUAUUUUAGAUAAAAUAAAAUAUUUAUAAUAUGAAUAAAUAAAUAUAUAAUAUACAUUAAUAUUAAUUAUUAAUAUUAUAAUAUUAUAAAUAUGGUGUUUAUAUAAUAUUUCAAUUUGUAAUAUUUAUUGUAUAUUUCAUUAUAUAAAUAUUUAUAUAAUAUAUAAUAUAUAAAUAUAUAAUAUAAAAUUUUCAAUUUGUAUAAUAUACAUAAUAUUGUAUAUAUAUAGUAUAAUAUACAUAAUAUAAUAUAUUAUACAUAAUAUACAUUUAUACAAAAUUAAUAUUAUGUAUAUUAUAUAUUAUACAUAACAUUAUUAUACAUUAUUAUACACAAUAAGAAAUUACAUUCAUAAUGUAUAUAUUAUAAUAUAAUGUACAUAUUAUAUUAUGUAUAAAUAUUUAUACAUUUAUGUAUACAAUAUUACAUAUUAUGUAUAUUAUAUUAUAUUAUGUAUAAUAUUAAUCUAUAUAAUAUUUAUAUAAUAUAUAAUAUAUAAAUAUAUAAUAUAUAAAUAUAUAAUUUUCAAUUUGUAUAUUUCAAUUUAUAUUAAUAUAAUAUAUAUACAUAUAAUAUACAUAAUUGAAAUAUACAUAUUAAAUAUGUAUAUUUGGAGUUGUUUUUGAUAUAAUGUUUGGAUUGGAAUUGUUUUUGAAAUACAUAUUUAGCAUUUGGAAUGUGAAAAACAGUUUUUCAAAAACAGAAGCAAAAACAAGGAAUCCAAACGGACCCUAGUUUUGAAGUAAAACCCGGGCAUGAUAAUGCAGAUGGUUCCUUGCCACAUAAAAUGAUAUAGCUCAAAUGGUGCUACAUUAAUCUCCUUGCUUUUCCUCUAUGGAAACCCGUUGCAAAACUGGUGUUUCUGUUCAUUUGGUCAGAUGUUCAAAUCUUCUUUGCUAAACACAAAUAAGUUCUCCUUGUUUCGCAGACAAAUUCUCCCUGCUUCGCGUCUCCUGCUGUAUAUAUUGAAAGAUUGCAGUAACAACAUCUCAUUAUUCUCCUAUUGGGCUUUCUAGCACUUGAAGAUGAUUUCCUUUGAGAGUUAAAGUUAACACAAUAAAAACUCAGAAUCGUUAGUUUCUUUUCCUUCUGAUCUUCUUGGAGUCUAAGAAUGCUAGCUGUGAGGUCUUUUAUCCUUUCUCGCUUCAUUACCACAUAAGUUCCAAAUAACGCCCGAUGCAAGUUCAGGCAGCCUGCUUUGAUUAUAUAUAGGAGAUGAUUAUCCGCUUUGAUUAUAGGAGAUGAUUAUGUCCUCACAUAGUAUACACUUCCCAUAUAUAGUUUCGGCACCACCAUUCCAUGCAAAUUAAGAAGGAAACGUUUUUGUGGAGCCUUCCUUGACUGGAUGGAUAGGUUCAAAGAAAAUCUUUUUGAGUUUUGGUUUAUUGCACCUGUGGGAAAAAGAAAAAAAUGCAGAGAAAAUGAUAUUGGCAAUCGUUUGAUGCUGCCAUGCCAACACAUACGACUAUAUUCACGUUUAAUUCUAAACAAGUUUCAAUCUGGAAUAUUCUUCAAAUUUGUUCGCCAUUCGGUUAGCUUCUGCAACGAUUUGUGGGCGACAAAGUUUGCCGCUGAAAGGGCUGUGAACCUUAAGAACCAGCUCACACUUCUCCCAUUCCUUCCUGAUAGCAGUAUCGAAAGCGAACGACUGAAAAUCUGUUGAAACAUAUAAUUUUUUCUCAUAAAACGAAAUGAGUGUAGGUCUCCAGGCGACCCAAAAUCCAUUGCCGAUCGGAAUCCUGUCUCGCACUUUGUAGGAAAGGAGGGUCGACAAGACGACUCCCAAGUGCAAUUACAAAGAUCGUAAACCUCAAAGAAGGGCUCGUCGACGGACACAGAAAGGAGUUUAUCUUCCACAAAGAUGAACCUCUCACCAAAAUUCACAUACUUUGCUGCUUUGUUGAAGUACCUAACGGGCUUGAGGCGCAGCAAUUCAUCGUCAUGCUCUGCUUCAGAUGAAGUAACAUAAACAUUCUUUGGUGGAAAAGUAGUAGAUGGCACUAAGCAUGCGUAGAGAUGCUUCGUCAUGACAAAAUCUUCAUUACAAUUCCCAGUUCAUGGAUGCAUGAUUUUCUUGUAACACACCUUUUGAUUUAUCCUUCUACAGUUGUACACACUAUUGAUUCAUUUGCCUGGGUGGUUAGCAAUAGUAUACACGUAGUUGCUUAUGAAUUCCCCCCCCCCCCCCCCGACCAGGGUUUAAUGCGCUUGGGCUUCAGGGUUUGGGCCUUUUGUUUUUACCUUGUACCGAGGUUUGAGUCGGUUUUUCGUGAAGAUUUCCACGCCACGCUCCCAAGGAAGGAAUCCGAAUCAGAGUAUUUUUGGUGUUAAUAGGAAAAUUCAUUACUACUUCUUAUACACUUAAAAAAAUCUCGUUUACUCUUUUUUCAUAGACCUAACUAGAUCAUAGACCUAACUAGAUCAACGAGAUGUUUUGACACCAUUCUUGAUUUUUUUUUGUUGCAGGUGAGAUUUGAACCCCUACCUACAGCCUAAAUUGGUUCAUAGACCUAACUAGAUCAACGAGAUGUUUUGACACCAUUCUUGAUUUUUUUUGUUGCAGGUGAGAUUUGAACCCCUACCUACAGCCUAAAUUGGUGGCCACUGUACCAAGUUCAGUGGUUCAAAAAAGUUCAGUGGUUCAAAAAAAAUCGUUUACUCGUUUGGUUAAAAUUCAUCAAUCACUAUUAUUAUUAUCACUAUCAUUGACUAGUUAAUAGUUAUAAUUUGUUUGUUAAAACUCAUAGGCACCGUUUGGACCCCAUCUCAUUUAAAAUGGUUAACCAAAGUUGUUAGUAAUAAUUCACCAAAUCCAUUAGGCUCAUACACCAAAUCCAUUUCCUUUCCAAAUUUUGCAUAUGGAGAGACAGGCAGUGGAGAGGCAGAAUUGCCUGCAGAAGAACCAACCUAAACGGUGAUGAAGUAAAUAAUUCCGCCUUUGGAAGGAGGGAGUUGUAAGCCCGAAAUUCCUUCCACCGCAACCAACUGCUAUAUUUCACCUUUCUCUGGUUUCAAACCCACAAACAAAAUUUCCUUUUCCUUUUCCUUUUACAGUUGAAGCACACAAAACAUUAUUAAUUACAAUCCUUUCCACCCUAUUUACUUACUAGUGACAAAUGCAGCAGCUCUUUAGAACACUUCUGGUAGAGGCCUGCCUUCCAGGAAUGACUUGAAUAGCACGAGCGAUCUCUCUGGCUGUGAGAAUGGAGCUUCAUGAGAAGCACCUCUAAUUGUUGCAAAUGAGAGCAAAUUUCCAUAAACUUGAGUCCAUCCACCAACCUGCGCGCGGUAGGAGAAGGCCAUGUAACCAAAUGUCGAUUAGGAAUUUGCAUGCAGAAACGGUCUGCAAUGACCAUGAUAAAGUUUGUGUUAUUCACUUAUACCUGCUGCCCUGCAAACCAAACUCGAUAAGGUGUGGUUGCAUUCAGUCUUAACUGUUUUGCCAAUCCAUGGACUAGGCUGCGGCUUCCAGUUAGUGGGAUUACAGAAUCCUGAUCGCCACUGUUUGCAAAAUUUCGUUUGAGAAUGCUAUUAUAGGACAUUCUGUUCUUAACCAACAGAUGACAGAAAGUAAAACCAUGAAACUUUAUGCAAAACGUUUUUGAGAUCAUACGAAUAAAGAAGCGUUGAAUUUACCUGUACACCAAUACUGUAAUUCCUUCCUUGAUAAGUGAUCCUACAAUUGAGAUUGUAGGUAUCUCUAUGUCAAGCAGCUGAUAAUCCAGAAUGCUGUGGCAGAAAGAGAAAUUUCAAUUUGUAGUAAAGGUAAGAAUGAGAAUCACUAUGUUGGUAGGCUGAUUUCUUGUUACGAUGGUUGCAAGUUGAGAUCAAUUCUGCGUCUAUCAUUUUAUUACUUUUUUUUGUUUCUAUGGCAACUACUAAAAUCUCUUCCCGUGCUAAUGGUACAUAAUCUUUGAAAUGCUAUUAAGAAGUGAAGGAAUUACUCGCUGCAAACAAGCCAUCUCCGCACUCCUACAAGCCUGGCAUGAAGCGCCUUCUGCACAUCUUGGCGGUUCAAGUAAUUGACAGUUUCAUCUUCUAUACAAACAUCUAUCCUCUCUGCGUUUUGCUGGUCAAUAGUACAAAACCAUUGUUAAGACCCGGGAGACAUAUCUGAGAAUCUUAACAAUCUGGAUAACAGAAUAAAGCUGAGAUAAUAACAUCUGAUCUGAAGGGCAACAACAAAAACGUACUUGUGGACUAAUGAUCCUGGACUGGGAGAGCACUGAAGAAAUACAGACAUCAAGUGUAACAUCAUAUUUGUCCACAAACCUACUGGUUUCUCUACUAACUUGGCUCAUGACCUUCGAGCAAAUAGGAGAAACAGCAUCUCUGUAGUAUUCACUCACAUAUCGAGAAUAGUUACAGAAGGAAGUGAAUAAUUUGUAAGUUGAAUCUGAUAUCAGUCCAUGUGACCAGAAGUACUCAGCUCUUGAGUUCAAGUCUGUGGCAUAUUCAAGAACUGGAUUACCUAGCUGCAACAAAAAUAAAGAAGAAAAGAAAGAGAAUUAUCAGUCUUCAGCAAAAGCAGCAAGAGAAAAGGGAAUUCUCUUUUGAUGUUUACUUCGCUCUCUCACUUUUCAACUUUAUGGCUCCUUAACCUGUUAGAAAAAGUGGAAUUCUGUUUCUUCUUGGGACCGUGGAAGAAAGAUCAUGAGUUUCUUCUUGUUAUUUUGGCUGAUCAAUCAUUCUGUUAUCAAUCCAGCAUAAUUCAGGAGACUUCUAUAACUUUUAUUUGGCAUUACUAUAUUAAUUAACUCUUACAGCAAUUCCUUUCAAGUUGAACAGCUUUUCCUUUUUGUUGAAUUGAAUCAUGAGCUCCGCAAGUUGAGGUACAUAGUGACCUGGUGGCAUCAACCCAAAAAGUUUCAAAAAUAAAAGAAAUAACCACCUUUAGGCAUUCUAAGAAAAAAAGAACAUGGCAACUUUAGGAAGAUACCUGCAUAACUUUCUCCAGUUAUAAACAAAUUUCUGUCCCUAUACUGUGGGAAUUGGAGGAACCAACGCUGCAAGAACACGAGAUUGUCCCUAGCUGAAGAAAAUCAUGAUAAAUCCAACUUUAGAAGUAAGACAAGUAUCCAAUUUAGCUUCAGAAAGACCGAUUUUACAAACGAUUGUCUGAACUGCUAAUAUAAUAGCAUCGGAUGACAAAUAUUUAUAAACUAAAAAGCAAGUCUUUUUCGUAAAAGUUCACAAUCUUUCUUAAAAAGAAUAUUCCACAGCCCCAGAACUUAUGUUUCCUGAAUCACACGUCCAGUCCAAUUUUAGAUGAUUGAUAGAUUUAUAAGCAGAAAAUCAUGAUUGCUGAAGAGAAGAGACGUACCUGUUAUAGCAUCACUCACAGCAUCGUAAGAGGAGGAAUCAUCCGCAAAAGAGAACCCCACCCCAACUGGUGUCUCCAAAUAUAGCACAUUUGCCUCUGCAAUAUCAUAUCCAACCAAUUAUCAUUUCUUUGCUUUUUUUUUUCUAUGGAAUUACUUGCAAAAUUCGAACUUUAUCAAAAAAAUAAGAUGUUUAUGAUGCUUUUCAUGGUUGUAAUUCUCACCUCUAUUCCAGCUAUGCUCAUUCCUUACCAGACCCUGUCCAUUGGGUCUAAAAGGUCCAUUUUCAGAAAAUGCACCGACGCCAAGAGAAGAGCAACCAGGUCCUACAAGAAAGCAAGCACUAUUAAGCAAAAUCUGGCCAAGUAAUCUUGAGGGCAGUUGAAUAUGGAGGAAGAAGAACUGUUGCAGACCUCCAUUCAACCACAGGACCAGAGGUUUUGAAGCACAAUCUAUUUCCGCCUCGACAAAGUAGUAAAAGAGAGCUUUUCCUUUCUUGUCAUCAACAGUAACAUAACCAGAGAACUGUUGGAAUCCCACUUGUGGUUGUCCAGGUAGCUGAGUAAUCAUGUCAGGAUGAGGCAUUGGAGAAGAUUUAACCGCUAGAAAACAACAUAGAAGAAGCAACAAGAUGGCCAUUUCCUCGACUGUUGAAGCUUCUGAUUUCAUGAUCUCAAGAAUGUAACGAUCAACCACACUCUAGUCAGCACUUAUAGACCCAGUGAAAUAGCGGAAUGAGUGAUAAAUAGUAGUAUUGCAAGCUAGUGGAGAGCAUGGAGUCAUGGCCUGCUCACGAGGCAGACUAAACAAAUAGCAUGCCUUUCUCAAAAAAAAAAGAAAAGAAAAGAAAAUAGCAUGCCUUGGUGAUUUCUAGUUCUUUAUCACCAUAAUCUUUGUUUAUGAGCAGGCCUGAACUAACACACUAAUGAUCAGAAAGUGGUACUAAAAAGAAAGGCACUAAAAUGAGUAGACGAGAAGUUAUUCCAUUCAAGUCUCAAGAGUCCGGGCUUGACUUGCUUACAUGGGCUCAUUCGUCGGCAAAAAGGACUGGGUGUUUUAAAAAGUGAAAAAUGAAAAGUAUCCUCAGGUGCUUUCAAAAUUCAAAAUUAUUUAUUUUCUCACAAACAGCAGAUUUAUUGCUUUAAUUUGUUUGUUUAUUUUAGUUUUGCCUUCCCAAAAAUGAUGAAUGCAAAGUGAAAAAUAGUUUUUUUACCGUGUCAUGCUUUUAAGCUCAAGCCUUGACAAGGUAAGGGAUGUUCCACAGAAAGUGGCUUUACAGUAGUACUGCUUUCACUACUGUGUCUCAGAAAAUGUGGGACACUGACCACUAUCAUAAUGUCUCCUAAGAACAUCUCUGAAACUUCAUUUUCAAUGCACAAUAUGAUAGGUAUUGUAAGAAUUUCUUUAGUAUUUUGUUUGGUUUUGUCAUGCAGAAUCAUAUGAGCACUGCCAAGAACAUGAUGCAGAGUAUCUUCGUGGAUUUCCUGAAUUGCUUGUUUGGUUGGAUUCGGUUGAUUUACAAGUACUACAAGAAAUUUUUUUUUUAAAAAAAAAAUUGAUUUUCCUGGUUUGCUGGGAGAUUUUCGUAAUGUCUGCAGUUUGAAAGAAAACCACAGCUGAAGCAGAUGUUGACUCUGGGCUUGUCCAUGAAUUUCUUCAAAAUCUGCAAUUUCAUUUCCUUCAAAAUCAUCUUUACAUUCUUGAGACUUCCAAGAGUAUCAUCUGACUCAACCAAAAACAAACAUCUCAUACAGCAAUUUUCCAACAAUACCUUGAUUUAUUUAUUAAUUAUUAUUGUAGUAAUAUGAAUGAGAACACAAGGUCUAGAGCCUUGAGGGCUGCUUUUGAAGAAAGGAAGGAAAAAAAAAAAAAAGAGCCUUGAGAGCUGCUUGUCUCUGACCUCUGUGAAUAAAGUGUUGUCUUGUAAUGAUGAGCUAUCCACUAGCAUAGGUCCAUCAUAGCUUGCAAAAUAGGGGUCCCCCCACCAACCUUCUGAAGAACAAAAACUACUACCAGUAAGUAGAAGGUGCCCUCUGGCCUUUACCAGAGAGAGGUUGCAUAUACUCGAAAUCUUCUCUGUUUCCCACUACCCUCCUAUAUAACUGCCAAAGACAGACAGACAGAUAAUUUGUACCAGCAAAAAAACACACAUAUUUCCAAUUAUUAUUGCAGCUAGCCUCCCACUUGACCUGCAACAAUCAUGCAGGCAUUGGCCAAUUCUCCUCCUGCGCCUGAAGGAAUAAAUUAUCAGACCUCGAGACUAAUUUAUGACUGGCCACCCCUGCAAGGGUCCAGGUAAAAUAAUAUUUGUCUUCAAUUGUUUAUCUUUACUCAUGGGGUGGCUGGCUGGGCUCCGUAACAUGCAAUGGAUUAAGCCUGUCGUCCCCAGUUAGGCGCAUAGGGGCGCACAAAAAACACUCAAAUCAAGGUAAUUUUGUCGCAGAAGUGUUCUGCUGAUAUGGAGGAUGGCAUCAUUAGUGUAGGAUUUAUGAGUUGUUCAAGCUUACGUUAAUGCAACUUUAGCUGAAAGCAAUAAUUGUAAUGCUCUACAGGAGAAACUUGUAUUUUACACAAAGGAAGGAACCUUGUAAUGUUUGGAUUUUAUCUGUCUUUCUAUGAUAAUUUUCAUUCUAACAAAAGGGAAUAACAUGAAAAAUUUUACGCACGUCCAAAAUUUAGCAAAAGGAAUGAAACAAAAUAUAUGCACUUCCAACCUCCAGCACUUAAAUGACUCCUGAUUUGCUCUUUUUAUAAAGCCAAGCUGGGAAACAACAAUAUACUGUUUGAAGAUUCGUUAGUGAAGAUUGUCGUUUGACUGGGCAAAUUUGGACAUCACUUUCCGGGUCGGUGGAAUAUGAAGAUGCUAGCCAGUAUUCGAGUGGAAAUCUGGCUCCUCUUCCACGAUGACCACUCAAUGUUCUCCAGCUUCAUAUCUUGCUCCCAAGUAUUGCCUCAGCUGGUAUUAAAAGAAGGAAGAUAGCCUCAUUAAUUUAUUUUAGGACAAACUCUAAUUUGAACCUUCAAGGAAUCCAAACAUGUCAACCCAGUCCAUUAAAAGUUGAUAGUUUCCAUUUAGCCCAUCAAUCAAGCUUUUGCUUUUCCCAUGUCAGUUUUUCAGAGGACUAGCAGCUAGUAGUAAUUUGCAACUUCAUUAAACGGAUGAUGACCAUUUUUGGCAUUUGCAUCAAGACCCUUUCAAUGUGCACUUGAAUGGCCGGUAAAAUGCGUGCCGCUUUUCUGGCACGCUGCAAAGUUUGGAGCUCUCUGUAUCUGACUUUCUGUAUUAUGUUUAUGGAACUUGAUUGGUUGUCAUGGAUAAGGUUAUCAUUUGUCCCGUUCUUUCAUUAUUGAUAUUCUCCUUCACUCCCACUUUUAUUACUACCACUCCUACUACUUUAGUACCUUUUUUAAUCUUCUCCAAUUCCCAAAGUAGCUUUUUACCGAAAAAUCAUGUAAUUUCACGAUAAACAAUUGACAUAAAUGCUUCAGAUUUUUAAAUCAUUUGCUUUGACUUUCUUUAUUCAGUUUUAUAAUCCUAAGAAUUUAUAACAAUUAAUUAAUCCCUUUAAGAUAUACUCCAUUUGUCACUUUACCCCAUAACUUUUUUCUUGUUUCACUUUAUCCCCUAUUAUAUAAAAUUACCCCUCUAUUAUUCUAAUUUCUUAUUUUCUUUCUGUCCCCUUUUUCUCUCCUUUAUUUUCUUUGCCUCUUUCUUCUUUCUUUACUUAUUUCUCUUUCCCAUAAGAAACUUCAUCUCAAUGAUCGAAGUUAAAAGAAAAAAAAAAAAGAAAUUGCAAAGAUCUAUUUUCACAUCAAAUGGUCAUUAAAUAUUCAAAACCCUUCCCCAAAAUAGCAUUUUUUACACUUUUCAAUUUUUUUGCUUUUUCUCUUCCUAUCCCAAUUUCUCAUUUUAUUCUAAAAAAAAUCACAAGAAGAAUUUGCGACUUGAUUAAUGAUCAUUAAUUGCAAUUUGCGGCAUUGUCAAAAAAUUGAAUUAGCUUUUAAUGCCUUUCCAAACUUCACCCAUAAAUCCAAUUACAAACUCCAAAUAAAGUUUUCUAUUGAGAUGAUGCUUUUUUAUUAGGAAGGAUGGAAGAGAGAAGAAAAAAGAAUGAGAAAAAGAAAUAAAGUAGGAAAAAUGAAAAAUGAAAAGUCAAAAUAAUAAUGAAAGGUAAUUUUAUCCUAUAGGAGGGUUAUGUGACCAAAAUUAAAAAUUAGGCGAUAAGGUGAAAAAUAGGAUAUACCGUAAGAAGAUUAAUUAUAAUUAACGCUUUUCCUAAUUUGCUGUUGAAAUUUUCUUUGGAGUAAAUAAAAAGAAUGAUCAGAAGUUUCGUUUCAGAAAUCAAAACCAGACACUUUGUUCCCCAAAAGUCCCUUUGCAAAAGUGCUGCAAAGCAACAUAUUAAUCACUUCUUCUAAGAGCUCUUAUAAUAAAAGUGCUUUCUGCUACCCCAUGUGUACUUGAUGUAAUACGAGUUUUUUCUGAAUGAUUUAGUAAACCCUCAUCUCCUGCGUCAUCAAUUGCUGGUUUAGCGGUCAUCAGCUUAAAGCAGACAUUCCCAGCCCAAUUCUGAAGUCGCAUCCGACUUGGUUUCACGGUUAAAUAAACCCCACUUGCCACCUGACCCCACACCAAGAACAUUCCAAAUUAAAUUAAAAAGAUAUUAAAGAAAUAGUAGUUUGAGCACUUGUUAAAAAGAGACUCAAGUGUUAAUCUUUUUUUUUUUUUUUAAAUUACAAUUAAUUCAACACGUAUCACAAUUCAGAGGUGCAACAAAUGCUAGCGUACAUACUUAUACCAUAAUUUAGGUGUAAUUUUUGUGUUUUAACGGGUGCCCAUGAGAAAAAUCCUUAAAAGCAAAGAAAGAAAGUCAUAAUGAGAGGCAACUCCCUGACUAUAGCCGGAGGUUCCCACUAGAUUUUCUCAUGUUCUAACGAAGUUUCAAAGACGUCUGAGACAAGGUACAUUACUUUGGAGCAAUUCAAAACAACUUAACAAUUACGAUUAUCCAAUAAAUAAGGCAAAUAUUAGACCCCAUUAGCUACAAAUAUGUCGAAGCACACAUGAUACAACAAAAGAUCUGGUACAACUAGUUUAAGUAAAAAGGUCGUGAAUAUUUAAGUUUGUACAGAUAUUCUGUGAUGAAGUUCAAUUCAUACUGUACGAAUCCCCAAUGUACAUAUGACUGAAGGAUCAAUCAAAAAAUGAAUAUCAUUGAACUUGAAUACAAGAACAAUGCAAAAUCUUUAUAUAUUGGUCAAUCUAUUAUACAAAUGGCUGCCUUUUCUUCAAAAGCUAAGACUCGCUCUACUUCUCAAAUGACAAAUCAACAGGGCAUAUACGAAAGAGCCUCCCAACGAGAAAAAUUGUAGCCGAGAUCGGUCUAAAAGAAAACUACCACAAAUUACCUAUGAAGUGCAAGUGGAUCAUGAGGAAUUGUCAGAUUCGACACCUGGCAUCAAAGUCGGAAUAGAUUGCUGUUCUAAUUCCCUGCGAGAGGCUUCCCACAGCUGCUGUUCUAUUCCCAAUUUCCUCAGCUCUGUUAGGCCUCGUUCAACUGCAAUAAAGCAGAAAUUGCAUGCAAUUAGACCUGAUAAUUCUCAAACAAGCCCACAAGUGAGGUAGUCAUGAUCCUUGUUAGCAGGAAAUAAUAAUGACUAAGAGUUGUUAUGCCAUAUAAACUGAAAUCCGUUAACACCAGCAGAUGUUCACAUGCAACAAGAAUUGCAGGGCAUUUCCAUGCUACUUGGACAUGGACUCGCGAGAUUAAUGUUACUCAGGUGUAGCCAUUGUUGGCCUUAAAUGCAUCUAUUUUUACAAGCAAGAAUCUACAAUAAGCAAAUGAGGAAAAGAAAAGUACCAUCAACGGCAUCAUGUGAUGUUGGCGAUUGUGCAUUACGGCUUAUCCAGAACUGAAGUCUCUCUUCAGCUAUAUCCUCUUCAACACCAUGAUCUUUGGCUCUUCUCCAAAAGUACGUAAGCCAAGCCUGAAAUAUUGAAAAGCAUGUAAGCAAGCUGGUACGAAAUCCCAUUACUCCAAAAAAGAAAGCGUUAUACACGAAAACAGCGGCAAAGAAUAUUAACAAAAAGAUAUACCUCCUUGAAGAGAACAUCGUGCGACUCUUCUUGACUUAAUUCUGCAAAUAUUGAAGCGAAAUUACUGACAUGCCUCUUUCUAAUGGAAGGAUACAAAUGAAAUGCUUAAACCAAGGAAACACUUCAAUUAUUUACUUUCAUCAUCCUCUAGUCUUAUAUUGUUUAACAAUAACACAAUUAGAAGAACUCAACAUGUUCCUUACCAAACGGCUCCAUAUAUUUCGUCUCAAUAGUUGAUUUAGGUUCUGCAAUUCAAGGACAAAAAAGUAUUAGAUGAUUCUAAUGAAAUUGAAAGUCAAUUGCUCUAUUUUUAUGGCAGAGAUUUGAGGAAAAAUGUUAAUGAACAACUUCAAACAUGUUCUCCAACAAUCUAUAUAUGUCACAAACCCAUUACUGAAAAAAAGAGCUACAUUAAAUAUUUUCUGUAAACAACCCAAAAACAGACAUUCACGAUUGCAGAACUGCAUGAUAAUUCUAUUGAGCUAAAACAACAAAAAACAUGCCAAUUCAGUUGAAAGGAGGAGAAAAGUCUGUAAAUAGAUAGGAAAAGGUGCCACAAGGUGACAGUGUGUUAAACAUUGCAUGACUUAGAAAUCAUCCAGGUUAACCUGGAGGACAAAAACUACCUCCUUGUUUUGUGAUAAUCUAUUCAGUCGUCGAAGCCUAUGCCUUUUGCUCUAUGCUAAUAGCAUCUCUGGGUCUAAAGAAUAUCUCUAGAAUCAUGAAAAGCACAAACAUUAAAUUCUUGAGCCUGUUUUAAUGGUUACAAAACUCCAAAGGAACACAACGAGAAAUCAUAUGCAUGAAAUGAAAUGAAGUGGCUUGACUAGUUUGAUGAAGUGAAGUAAUUAAGAUAGUAACAGGAACAGAAACUUUAUCGCAGUCAGAAUGGACAUGCAGAUGGGAAUUCACGUGGUAGAAUUACAGAAUUACCCGUUCAGCUGAAAAACAUGCCAACACACUAGGGGUGGAGCUGAGAACUCCCUACAACAAAGAACAAAUUUGAUAUGCUACACUCUUCAAAAGUAGGAAAAUGUUUUGUUGCUAACAGAUUCUCAAAGACCAAACUUGAAAACUUGGUUUGUCAGAAAAUGGGAAAGCCACAAUAAUCACCAAUCAUCCUGCAAAUGAGACUAAGCAUGCCGUAUUAAGAUAUAAGAGGAUGCUUACAUAUUUAUUCAAAUUUAAUGAAAUGAUGAUAAAGCCAGAUGAUUGACCAUACCCAAGAAAGAAUGACGAACCAAACUUGAACGUCGGUGUUGGGCAAGUGCUAAGACAACAGCAUCCUCAACCUUGAUGGCAGCAGAAAUAAGAAAGUAAUAAUUCAUAAGCAAUGACUCACCUAUAAUCAGAAAUUAAAGAAGGAACAAUUACCAGAAAAUAUGUUACACUAGGGGGUCAAAUGGGUUACCCAAAUUAAUUGGGUUUGGGUGGAAGUGGGUCCCAAAGUUUUUUAAUUGCCUCUCUGCCAACUAUCAUUGCUUGAUUACUAGUAGAGAAACAAGAAAAUAACAAUUCAUAAGCAACAACUCACCUGUAAUCCACAAGAAAAGAAGGGACAUCAACCACAAAAAUAUGUUAAACUAGGAGGUCAAAUGGUCAUCCAAAUUAAUUGGGUUUGGGUCAAAUGCGUCCUCAAGUUUUGGCAGCCACAAUUCACUCCAUUUACUGGGUUGGUAUGGUCAUCAAUAACCCACUUAUGGAAUAAUAUCAGCUUCAGACAAACAAAAGAACUAAUUCCAACAUUUAUUUCAGGUCACAUCUGAAGGCUUAAUAACCAAGUUUAGCUCUGAACAUUUUGAUAAAGAAAACAUAAUCAUUCCAAAAUCAGUUGAAACAUCAAUGCCACAAGAACAGAAAAGGAAAGUGAAUAAAUAGGUCAACAUCGAUAGCAAGCAGGACCUAAAACAUUUGAACUCCAUCCGUUUAUAAAACAUAGUUGAAGUAAUCAAGAAACAAAAUAACUGGGCAGAAAAACACAGUAGUCUUGAAUGAACAACAACCUUCAAGGAAGCUAAUUCCCUUAAGCCCAUUUCAACUGAAAGCAUGCUCUCAAUAUUUCCUUCCCCUGUUAAGUCACUUAAAUUCCGUACAUGUUUGUUCCUUCUUUCUGUAUCAUCUCCACCUGAAUAAUGUCAGAGAUAAUAAUUGCUUAGUCAUACUCACGCCCAGGACUGAAAAUCUACUUAGCCAUUUAACCAAAAUCUAAAAAGCAAUGGUAAAGAAGAGAUACCAUUCCAAGACUCUUCCCUCGCUUUUUGUCCAGCAGAAAUGACAACUUCAAAUGGAAGAGGUGCCAGAGAUGACCAGUGUUCAUGUUUCAAAGCUGCUACAUCAGUACAAAUACCUAGAAGACACAAAAGGUCAAGAACAAUAGCUUCAGAAGAACUUUAAUUAGAAAAUAGCUGGUCAUCAAAGCCAACGAAGAAGAGGAAACAAGGAAUAAAAGACAGAAAACAACAAACUAUCCAUUUAAGUGAAGUUAGAAAAUAACCAUGAAUUACAGAUGCAAAGUAAUUCCUAACAAACUAAAUUCCUAGCAAUAAGGCAUAUGGCACAAAUUACAUCAGUGUGACACCUACUUUACAAAGACAAAGUUGAAAGAGGAAAAGAGUUUCAGCAUAGCUUGAUACAUCCAAUUCCUCAAACAAUUCCAAAUGCAAAAAUAUGAAUAGCAAGAUGCAACCUGAAUUGACACUUGGAUUGGUAUAUAAUGUCACAAGUGAUUACCAUAAUGUACAGCUAAGCCCCAAUAGCGAGCAAGCCAGCACCUCUUCAGAACAACCUCCUCCUAAAUUGCCAAAUCAACCCCCAAGUUGGAAAGAAAAUGAAAGGGAAAACCGAAAAAGGGAAAGAUAUUCAGGAAUCUGGUUAACAUUUGUGUUGUAUAAGCAGGUAAUAAAGACAUCAGAUUUAUAACACAACCAUUUCUUCAUGAGUCAAAAUCAUUCUUUGGGUCAUAACACGUAGAGCUUUUGCUUCAGAUUCAGCUUCUCGCAGCUGCUCCAUGGUAUUCACUGUCUCAUCUUUUAAAUUCUGAAUCAAACCAAUAAAAAUGAUGAGAAUGUUGUUUGAUAUCCUGUCAAAAUAGCAUUGCACUAAGCAACAUUUGCUAACCUCAAUCUCAGCACGUAGAGAUGAAAUUUGUUCAUCUCUCCCAUCCUUCGUCUGCUGCGCAGCUUUAAGAGCUGCCUGAAGCAGAAAAUUUGGAGCAAAAAGACAACAGUCACUACAUUUAUAUCUAAUUUUUCUUGAAGAUGGCAAAAUAUUAGGAAAACAAAAAGGAAAGUAGACAAAACUAGCAAAAAGCAAAGCUAUAGUAGUGGCCCCCUUUCCUACCCAACCCCCCACGUAGAGAGAGAGAGAGAGAGAGAGAUCAUAGUGUUAGCAUGGCUCUACAUAAUAUCUAGCUUGUUGUCUGCCAGCAUUUCAAGCAUCAAUCAGUAGAAAACUUUUAUUGCAAAUUCCACCAAUCACAUAGCUGUUACAUACCUCUCUUUGCCGAAUUGCUGCUUCCUUCCUGCAAAGAGUCAUAGCUAACAUUAGGGGUGUGCAUCGAAAUCGAAUUAGGUAAUUGGGAACUUUGAAUUCGGAAUUUUUCGAAAUUUGGACAUCAGGAAAUUUGAUCGAUUUCGAUUCCGAUUUCACACAUUCCAAUUUCAAAUUUGUACCGAAUUCAAUUCGGAAUUCGGUAAUAAUCAAUUUCACCGAACUCAAUUUGGAGUUUUGAUUUGUAUUUCUAAUUUUUUUAAUUAUAAUUACAUAUAUGUUUUGCUAAACUAAAUGCUAACUUUUGUAUAAUAUAUGUUUACAAUUAUAACAUAAAUAUACAACUAAAUAAGACUUAUUAUUGUACUGUUAAAUAAUAUAAUUGUUAGUUAGAUGUAUAACUAUAUAAUAUAAAUUUUAUAUUACAUAUAUAAAAUAUAUAUAUAACGAAUUCGAUAUUCGAUUUCCGAUUUGAAAAAUAUUCGAUUUCCGAUUUGAAAAACACCAUUACCGAAUUCAAACCAAAUUCAUAUGUUUCAAAUUCGGAAACCCCGAUUUCCAUCCCGAUUUCCGAUUUACCGAUCUCGAAAAUUCUGAAUUCAAAUUGAAUUCGGUCAGUAAAUCAAAAUUUUUCGAUUUUGCACACUCUUAGCUAACAUUAAGCCAAGGAUGUUAACAAUGAUGUAGAACAGGAGAAACAAAGUAGUACCUGCUCAAUAGCUUAGCUUCUAGAGAUACUCCGUCCCCCAGAGCAGCAACCUGUUAACGAAAUAAGGAAGUUAUGAAAAGAAAUCAGGGAUAAAAGUCUAAAAUGGAAAGCCAGAAACUGAAUGUGAUGCCUACCUGUUUCUCCAACUCCCUGGCCCUAGCUUCGGCUUCUUCACGUUUUUCUUCUGCAUGACGAAGCUGUAGGCAAAAUGAGCUACCCAAUCAAACUUAAUGCACAAAUAGCUGUCUUUAUUUUUCCCCUCCAGGUGCUUAAGUAUUUCUUUUAGGCCAGGAAAAUUGAACUGUUGGGACUUUGGAGGAAGAUCAUUUUCCUGGGGUGUUAAAAUAGAGAAAAUAAUAAAGGAAUACAGAAAGCCACCUUGUCAAGAAUAAGUUCAUUUUCCUCUUGUAUCAUGUCAAGCUGCAGAAUAAUAUUCAACUCAUUAAAACAUGUUAAGGAUCCUGAUUAUCCCUUAGAAAUACAAAAUAUAUAAGAUAAACUUAGAUGAGAUGCCCUUCUAGAUCGUCAUACACUCUAAUCAUUUAUGCUGAUGAUUCAUGUACACUAAUAAUGGAGUUCCUUACUUCAUCUCGAAGUGCAGAAGCUUCAUGUUCAUUUCCUGAAGCUUUCAAGUCAACUAGUCCAACAUCUGGUGUGAGCCUGAAUCAAUAACAACAGUGACACGCUAUGACACCUUCUGAUAAAACUCAUUAUUUUCCUUCACAGCUAAAAAGGUAAUGACUGGAUACAUCAUCUCCCAUGUGAUACCAGUAAAAUUAUACCUUAGAUUAAGCAGUUGAACUACUAACAUAAAUGUGAAAUUUUCAGGAGAUCAUGUAUGUUUCAUGAAAGGCAUGCCAAAGAUUCUGCCACAUACCAGCAGUCAAGGCAGACCUUAACCACUUACAGAAAUGCUAUAUACCUAGUAAUUAGCAUUUGGCUCUAUUUAGCUAUCAGAAAGUACACUGGUGUCAGACAUCAGAGCACAAAAGUUUUCACCAAGGAUUUUAUAUGCCUUUGAUCAAUUCCUCUUUCAAAUUUAAUGAAGUUGAGAACGAUAUAUUGCCAACAGAUCUUUUGUUUCAAUUGGAUAAUGAAUUUAGUAAAAAACAGUGAUGACUCAUGUAUUAUGCAACGGCAUGUGGCUUAAAAGUACUAAUCUGAAAAUAGUUCAGAUUAUGAUUAGCAUUAGAUUAUUAUUUACCAAAAAAGACGGAUGAUCGCUCAUAUCAGGUUUCAGGGCCUAGCAAACAUGUCUUCCAUUGCUCAUAUGUAUAAGAUUUUCUGGAUCUAGCAAACAUGUCUCGCAUCCUCUAACUCUAUUUGGGUUACCUUAACCCAAAUGCAGGACAGAUGCCUCUCUAGUGCAUUCUAAGGAGCAUAUCCUUCCAAAACUACAUUCCCCAGACCUGCACCCCCACCAACUUAACCCUUAUACACAUACACAAAGAAAACAAAAUAAUUAAAAUUAGGUUAAAGAAUGACACAUGACAAAGGUUUAUAAAUGAAAAUAAAAAGUCAGCCACACAGCUAAAGAGAACCAUGACUGUAAGAAACACAGAAAGCCACCGAGCUUUAAAGAACAGCUAAACAAAGUACAUCACCUCUUUUCUCGUAAUCUGCCACUUGGAGGUUCUAUUGGUGGGAUGGCAACUGGAGUUCUCAGUGUUGGUUUAUUCUGGGGCAAAACAGUAGUGGUGGUUGAACGAACAGACAUUGAAGGCCUUCCAGCAGAAGUGGAACGUACUGAAGGCGUGUGAUCCAUAAAGUUCCGACCUAACUAAACAUGAUUACAUCCAGUUAGCCAUUAAAAUCACAUAUAAUCUUCAUGCAGAAAGUUAGGAGUCUCAAUUUUCAAAAUUUGUAUUUUGCACAUCAUUAUUUGGUUUCAGACAGCAAAAUAACUAAACCUCCCUAGAAUUUCAGACAGCAAAUCACCAAAUAAUCUUAUUUGCACAAAUUAUCUUACAGCUCUCUUUGUUUCACUUCUUUACACCUUCCACAGAAUCUUACUAGAAAAUGAAAAAUCAAAUGAAUUUCUUCAAAAAAAUAAUUUCGCAUAAUUUCAAAUCCUAUCAUUUCAUAAAAUAUUUUAAUCACUGUUUCUACAAAAAGAUGACAUGGUCAGCAAAACAUGUACACAGGUAAACUCUAACUGGUCCAAGAUCAUUGCAUGAACAGUAAUAACCAAUGUGCACCUAUACUAAUAGCCAAAAAAUUGCAUGAUGAUGGGCAAAAUUUAGAUAAUUAGAAUAUCUUCAGAAAAUUAUGAUAUCAUUCCAAAAAGUCUCAGAGGACUCAAGACCAUAUUUUGCAAUAAGAAAUGCUACCACCUUCUAAGCAUUUUGCUCGAUAGUAUAGCUAACAAUGUUCAUAAAAUAGUUCCUUCACAAAGCCUUUUUUAUCUUUUUGCUUUUAAGUUCUUUACUCUGGCAUAAUUUUUGGCACUCCAGAGAAAUUUCAAUUUCAAUAUAUAUUCCAAAUUCAAACAAUCUUAUUUUACUUGUUGAAUUAAUGGCAUAUAGCACUGACUCCUCCAAAAUGCCGAAUCAAAGCAUGCUUUUUUCCAGCAUACCAAUUGACUUUUAAGCUCUUCACCUCAUAUCUUAGAGUCCAUUGCUUCCAGUAAAUAUCUAGUGAGUAAAACUUAUUUGAAAUUUAACUGAAGAAUUAUCGACGGACAGUCCAGUUCCUCAGCUCAAAGCACCUAAAUUACACCCAAAAAGAGAAACAAAAAGUAAUUCAAAAAAGUUCAGCCUGAUUACCGCAGGUGAUGGAGAUCUAUUCGGUUUAGCAAGCGAAGCAGCCGGGAAUCCACUGUGACUGUUCCUAUCAACUCUGCUACUAUUCACAUUACUAGAAAAACCGCUGGCAGGCGGCGGAGGAGCACCAGCAAACCGAAAUCCAAGAUCAUCAUCAUCGUCAUCGUCAUCGGCGGUGGCCUGCGAAGCCAUGACCUGGGCCAGUCGCUGCGCGGCGGCCUUGGCAGCAACGUUCUGAGUCCUUUUAAUAGUAGACAUCCCCCCUGUGGCCGGCGGUAGCCUCGAUCGUGGAUGCGCCGGUGAUCCUGCAGGCGACGAUGAGCCUGUACUGCUUGAUCCCCCACUCCACUGCCGCGCAUAGACCAGACUUUCCGUGGUCCUCCGAUCCAUUUCUCCGACUUCAAAAAUAUACAGAAAUAUGUGUGUGUGUACUACUAUAUGAAUAUAUACGUAUAGAGUUGUGUAUGUAUAGGUUUGGGAGCUAGAUUUUUGGGAGGGGAAAUUGAGCUAGAUUUCCUCUCGGACGAGACUUGGAUGGGAAUUGGAAAAGCGUUGAAUUUGGGAGGUGAAAACGCAUGUCCAGGUAGAGAUAUUUCUGAAACGGGGAGAAAAAGAAAAAGAAUUGUCGUUAAAAGACUUUAAAGUCACUCUUUCUAGCAAGGUAAGCGGUGAUGACCGGCAUAGAUUUGGGAUUUGGGAGAGGCGACUGGUGCGUAGGCGGGCGUAUGCUACGACGUCGUUAGAUUGUAUAAUAGGGACGAGGAUUUAAAAUUAAAAUGAAGAAAAAUUAAUAUUUACACUCCAGCAUUUGUAAAUUUAGUUUCUUUCCACGCAUUUCCACGGGUCAUUUUGCAGUUAAUAGUUAGUAUAACUAGAAACUACAACACAAAUUUUGAAAAUCUAAAUGUUCAUUUGAUAGAUAACUACUUUUUCAUUCGGCAUUCAAAAAGAGUUUGAAAAUGAAAAGAUUAAACUUUAUCUCCACGCUGAGCUGAUGAAAUUGAAUAAAUGGCAUUGAUUAUAAAUUAUUUGAGAUAUUUUUACUGUAACAUUUUCUAUGAUGUGAUGUAUGUGAGAUAAAAAAUGUAUUGAAAAUUAUAAUGAUGAUGUAAGCAAAUAUAUUUAAAUAAAUAAUCUCCGGUCCAAACACCUAAUGAAAAAGAGAGUCAAACUCCAACGUGUUAAGCAAAAAAAUAUGUACAUGUGUGUGUGUGGCCAAACUCAAUAAUAAGACGAAUGAAAAAACACUGAUAGGAGUAAUGGUACAAAAGGGGAGGGAUAAAAAAAACGAACUUAAGAUAGAGAAAUAACAAAUGAAACACAAUAAAUUUCCUAAUGGCCUUGCCAUCAAUAAUGGGCAUAAUGAGAUUGAAUUAAUAAUCAAGUCAAACAAUAGGAGUAGAAAAAUAGAAAAAAUGUGACUAGUUGUAGAUUUUCCUACUCAUAGAUAAAAGAAAAGGAUAUUGUGAUUAAAAGGAGAAUUAAAACCAUGAACUGAUUGAUUGAUUGGCUCAUUGAUUAAAUAAGAGGAAAGGUAUGAUUAGUAGAAACAUAUAAAAGUUGAUUGGAAUUUAGAGAACGUAAAGUUACGUAAUGGUAUAAUUGAUGUGUUGUAUAUCUAAUUAUAAUAUUAUAUAUAUUAUUUAUGUAUAUAAGAUUAACUAUAGUUUUAAAUAAAAAAAGUGGUAAUAAAUGAUUGGAAUGAUAGGAAAAACGAUAGCUAGUCCAAAUUUUGAUAAUGGUUGUAAAUGAUCAAGUAAAUAAUGUGAAAAGAGAAUUAAAAAGAAAAGCUAUGAGUUGACCUGAAAAAAAAAAAUAGUACUAGUAAUUAAUACAAAAUGAAGAUAAGGUACGAAAUUGAUAAUUGAUCGAAAUUUACUAUAAAUAAAUAAUGAAGUGAAAAGAAUUGCAAAUUAAUUGCGAAAAAAAAGAAGAAAGAAUGGAAUCCGCCAAAAAACAUGCGAACAAACACGAAAGUUUUGAUUCGUACCCAAAAUUUGAACAAACUACGGAUGUUCAAAGUUCAAAUUCCACAGAGAUUGGAGAAUACACGAAUCCAAUCUUCUCGUUGGUAAGUAACUUCAAUCCAACAGUCUCAGGCUGCUUGUCGCCCAAUUUAAUUUGCCCCUCAGUGCAUUCCUGUCAGGCGAGCUGGGCUGGCUGAAUGACAAAAGAUGCUUUGGAUCGAGGUUCACUGUGGUGCUAUGGUGCUGUUGUAGUUCCUCACCGUGGAGGAGCAAUUUCUUCAAGUCACUAGAGAUAGAAAGCCAUUAGACACUUAUUCUUUUUGGGCUCAACCCAACGCAGCAGUGUGGGCUAGUCUCAUGGUGCCAAAGCCCUCGCCCAACCAGCUCCCUCCAACCUCAAUAAUUCCCUGCCGUCCAAGUGUCAAUCUGUUUAUCCGCAUCUUGAAUUGCCAAUCUAUAUCUACUUCAACGGCACAUGAUCUUUUCCAACUCCCACGGAGCAACAAUAUACUUGGUAUUACUUUUGGGAAUUACUCUUACAAUUUCACUCCACAUCCCCCUUUCCACUAUAAUUAAAACCCUUCCAAUCAACUUCCUUCUUGACCCUCUCAAAUUAACUUCACAAUGGAACAUGGCCAUUUACAAGCAUGUCAGCAACGCCUAAAUUUCAAACUCGCAAUAUUGCAAAGGAGGAAACAUCUGCUAACAAAACGAAAAGGACGCCACAACGGUCCCACACAAGAAUUGGAACAGUUCCAACAACUUUGCGUCAGCGAAAGAGAAAUCUCACAUCAACUACGAUGGAUAAAAUCUCGACUAAACCGACUCAAACGCCGCGCCAAACAAAUUAGAAGUUUCGGUACUAUUUAUUCUUUUAAUCUUGAUAUUUUCAUUGUAUUUUCAAUUAUUAAUAAUAUUCUCAAUAUUAUAAUAUUAUUGUUGUUUCUAUACUAAUCCUUGCUGGCUCAAUCAACAAAGUAUGGUACUAUGGCUUUUAUGUGAGUUUAGGCAUUUAGACAUAUAGUUCUCAUUGUAUUAGUAAUUAAUCAGAUUAGUACCGGAACAUGGUCAUAGCUUUGAUUAGGGAAAACGUUAUUGAUUAUUCUUUCAGAACCUUCAAAAACGUUACUGAUUAGGGAAAACCUUCAAAAUCCAUAAUUGAUUAUUCUUUCAAAUUCAACAUUGUGCAGAAACCCAUACUAAUAUUUAUAAAAGGUGUUUCCAUUGUUGAGAAUGGAACUUUUACUAUGUCCUUUCAUAUAUGCCCUUAAAUAUCGUCAUUUGCUGUUCAUAAAACUUCUUACUUUACUCGAUGUGAGCUUUUCGCAAGCAAGGAUAAUUUUGUGUUGAAUUACAAGAGGCGCGGUGGGGUAGAUUGCGUCGAACAUGGCACGGGAGUGCUCCUGUUCUUCUGUGCAAAUUCCUACGUAAAUUGUAAAUCGUUUGGGUUUACGUAAAUUGUAAAUCGUUUGGGUUUAUUGCAAAAUGCUUAAUCUUUCGUGACUGGUCGGGGGGAACACUUAGUUGUUGGGUUUAGGAACGUUCUAAGCCAGUUAUGGUAUGACAUGACUAAUUCGGGUUCUCUAGGCUUUCCUAAUCCAUUUCAUGGACCAGGUAAUUCUUAAAUAUGAUACUUGAUAACAAGAGGGCUUAAGAAAUAGGAAUAGGACGACUCUUGAUCAGAAGGUUGGUAAUCUGAUUUGUGUUUGUUGAGUUAUUAUGCAGCCGAGUGAAAACUGGAGUAGGAUUGAGCCAGUAAAGUAUACUUGAGCCAAUUGGCAGAUUAAGAGAACUACCAAUUGGCAUUACCCCGUUUGUGCCUGGAGCAAGAAAGGACGCUUCACCAUGUAAUAAAGAGUCAAUAUUACUUGAAAACUUAAAAGCUGGGAAUUCGGUUGACAGUCAUGCAACUAUGUCCAAGUUUCAUUAGUAAUCUACAAUGUACAGUUCAGGGCUAUAGGUAAAUGAGCAUAUUACAAUCAUCAAGAACCAAUAGCUUCCCAUACAACCGAUUUUUGGACGAAGAGCAUCUGCCCAUCCGAAGCAUCUUUUAGAAAUCUUACUUAUGGUAGGAAUGAGGUGCUAAAAAAAUGUAAAAUUCAUGUCACAUCUGCACGGGCACAAUCCAGAAUGACAUGGUUUCCAUUGUUUAUAAGAAUCAAGUUAGAAGUUUCGCCACUAUUUAUUCUUUAAACAGUGGUAUUUUCAUUAUAUUUAGAAUUAUUAAUAAUAUUUCUAAUAUUAUAAUAUUAUUAUUGUUUUCAUUGUUUAUAAGAACCAAGUCGGUAUUAUCUAUUCUUUACAUAUUGCCAUUUUCAUUAUAAUUGCAAUUAUUAAUAAUAUUCCCAAUAUUAUAAUAUUAUUGUUGUUUCCAUUGUUUAUAAGAAUCAAGUUAGAAGUUACGGUACUUAUUCUUUAAAUAUUGGUGUUUCCAUUGUUAUUUCAAUUAUUAAUAAUAUUCUCAAUAUUAUAUUAUUAUUGUUGUUUUGAUUGUUUAUAAGAAUCAAGUUAGAAAUUUCGGUAUUAUGUAUUCUUUAAAAUUUGGCAUUUUUAUUGUACUUCUAAGUAUUAAUACAAUUCCGAAUAUUAUAAUAUUAUUGUUGUUUUCAUUGUUAAUAAGAAUGUGGAAAGAGUACCAAUUGCUUAUAAGCACUUUAAUAAAUCCUACCGAAAGCUCCCCAAUUGCUUUGUUAAUAUGUUACAUGUUACGAAAUAGUACUAAAACCUAUUAUUGCAUAUGCAGUAGUCAAUCAUAAUGAAUAGAAUCACUACAAUGUUAUCUAAUAUCAAAGGUUCACAUAAAUAUAUUGUCAUUUUUACUACCAAAAUUGACAAUUUGUUUGGUUUUAUAAUUAACAUAAUAAAAAAUAUAUUUUACUAUUCUAAAUGUUAAAUUACAUACGGGUCCGUUUGGAUUAGCUGUUUUUGGGGUUGUUUUUCAAAAACAACACUAUAGCAUUUCGUUUUUGAAAUACAAGUCUGUUUGGAUUAGUUGUUUUUUAAAAACUAUAUGAAAAACUUUUACAGUAGAAAUUUUUUGGAUUAUUUUUAGAGGUAUUUUUAAAACAUAUUUUUGAGUAUUUUUAUAAUUUAUAAUUUUUAUAUUUUUAUAUUUACAUACAUUUAUGCAUUUAUAAUACAUUUAUAAAUAACUAUAUUUAUAUAAAAAUAUAUAAAUGUAUUAUAAAUGUAUUAUAUUAUAUACAAUACAUAAUAUAAAUAUAUUUAUAAAUGUAUAAAUGUAUAUUAUUAUAAAUGUAUAAAUUUAAAAUGAAUAUUAUAUAAAUGUAUAAAUGUAUAAAUGUAUAAAUUAUAAAUUAUAAAUUACAUAUUUUAAUAUAAAUAUACAUUUAUGCAUUUAUAAUACAAUUAUCAAUAUUUAUAAAUAAAUAUAUUUAUAUAUUUAUAUAAAAAUAUUUAAAUGUAUUAUAUUAUAUACAAUACCUACACAGUUGGUAAGUUUUACAAAUACCAAAAUAUUAAAUUAUUAAUAAUAUUUCAUACCCUUACGAAUAUGUAUUUGAAAAAUUUGCAGGUUUGAGAAUGAUAAAUGUGCUCAGAAAUUAGUGACGUGGUUGCGGUCAUGCAAUUUUACAAUGUCCCAAGCAUUGUUGAUAUCAAAUGCUAAGAGAAUAUGGAUAUCCGAAUAUGCAGUUAUACCUACGGUACAAUUGCUCUCAAUUAAUUAAGUAAUGAACAAGUAUCUACAUGUAGUUUCGAAUUAAUAAUUGUAAUCUAUAAUUGUUUGGAUGGUUUUAGGUUAAAUAUUUCGGAUACUUGCUUACAUUCAAAGUAUUAACCUAGACAAUAUGUUCCAUGAGUUAUGCAAAAAUUGUGGCCAACCAUGUCAAUCUCAUUUUGAAAAAAUGGUGUGUAUCCAUUGUAAUGACGUAGUCGAUACUAUUGUCAGGUAAUUAUUUUCAUAUAUUUUGAACUUUAAUAUAAUUUGUUGCAUCAUACAUCACAAUUUCUUCUUAACAGAUACAAUGUUAACAUAGAAGUUAGAGAUUCCAGUGGUACCUUAUACCUCGCUCUUCAAGACAGGCAUGCACGAUUCAUGUUUCAUUGUGAUGAUUCUUAUCUUAGAGAUUUAAAAACAAAGGUAUGCAUUAUUUAUAUGUAUAUUUUUUUACACAAUAUUAUUUACAAACUGUUUAAAACAAAAGUUAAUUUUGAACUAUGUAUGCUUUUAAUUGUCGGAAAAAUGGAGGUGCAUUGUUCGACCAACACAUUAAUUCAUGCAAAAAUCGUGCAUUCUCAUUUAUAGUGCGAACUCCACAAAAAUCAAUAGAAUUAAUUAAACCCCCAAUACUGACGUUCGUACUCAGAGUUGAUUGGUGUGAACUGAUUGGUGUGAAGAAUGUUCACACCUUCGUAGAAGAUUAUCAAAUCAAAGGCAAAAUGUCUGUAAGUAUUUCAUUCGCUUAUCGAAUUAAAUAUUCAAUUAUAUUUAAUUGGACCCUUAUGUCGCUCAAUUUAUGAUAUAGAUUUCAAUUUUUUUCAGGAUCCAACCUUCAUCAAAGUGAUCGUUUAUAAAUAAUGGAGAUGAUUUUAUCAAUAUUGAACUAUUGUUACAAAGUUUCAUUUUUUUAAAUAUACUUUCAUGUGCUCAUGAUUAUAAUAUUUUACUAUUUUUAAAUUCUUUUAUAGAUUGUAAUUUUUUUAAAUAAUGUAAGUACCGUGCGUAGCACGGGUAUUCACACUAGUAGCUAUCAAAUUAAUAGCGUCCAGUGGUUAUCCCAAGUCUUCUUAGGCUUGGUGGUGCGGGAGGUCAAGGGUUCGAACCUUGCCUCCCACAAAAUUUGUCACAAUAUGUGACGGUCUUCAUUGACCAGUUUCGAUGGAGUUUCUACUCACAUCGAGUCCCCUCCCUCUCCCCCUAGAAUAGGCUAGUUUAGAUUAUAGGAAUUCUAUGUAUCGACAAAAAAAAAAAAACAAAUUAUUAAUCUUUGAAUUAUUAGUUUUUUUGAAAUUUUUACAAUAUAUAAAGUAACGAUUUAUCGUAUGUUUGUCACAGGGUCUAGACUUCUGUUUUGUUUGAUGACCCAAAUGUCAGUUGGAAUUUGGACAGUAGCCAAUUGACAGAAAGAUGCAUAGUUUUCCACCGAGAAUAAGUUCUGUGUCUUGUGAAAUCUCUACAACGUUUCCAAGUGAUUGCCAAUCUCAGGGCAUAUAAUACAAGAUUGUGUUGGCUGUCAAUAUAUCUUUUAGAACCACACUAGUAUGACUACGGGACACUUAGGACAGCGACAUUGCCGAUGCCGUAGCCCGAAGCACAAAAACAAACUACUCCAAAACAAGUUCUGAUCAAAGAAACUAUCGAUGUCAGAAGCAAACAAUAAUGACGGCUAAUUCUGAACUGCAAAUCACAUGAGUGUGCUCAAGAGAGAAGAUUCAUUAGAAUAUUUUUUUUAUGAUAUGAGAUAAAAUAUUAGUUAAAAAUACGCUUUAAAUUCUGUAGGUACAACAGUCAUUUGAUUUGAUGUUUUCGCCAAUCACGUUUGGAUUGCAAUUUUUUAAAUUUUUUUAUAAAAAAUGUACUAUAUCAAAUUCAUAUAUAUGAGAUAAAAAAGUGAUUGAAAAAUGUGUUAACAAAAAAUGUAAAAAAUUUGUCAUGAAAAAUAGCUUUCCAAACAAAGUCUUUAAAAAAGAGUAAAUCUUAUAUACACUGACAGUAUAUAUACUAUCACCGUUUCAUUCAUGACCUGAGUGUAAAAGUUAAAUUUUAAAUUCUAAUUUUACAUAAUUAUCAUUCAUCCAACGCUAAAUAUUUAAGAAAUAACUUUCCAAACAAGGCUUUUCAAAAAAAGGAUAAAUCUUAUAUACACUGUCAGUGUAUGAAAAAAGAUUAAUCCUUUAUAAAAAUAUAUGUGGAAAUUUUUUUUGUUACAGUAUUCUGCGUGGACCAAAACGGAACGUUUCCUCUCACAAAUGCCAGGAGAAUUUCAAGGAAUCUUGGCAGUUUUUUAUUUUCCUUUUUGAUUCGGCAUUUCUGAAAAGUAUUAAAAGUCCUGCUCAUUUCUUCAUUACUUUUUCCGGCCACAUCUGAUAUGGGAUUGUGGGCCCAAUCUGAUCGGAGUAAAUAGCGGUAAACAUCUCUGCAACGACUUCAGGCGAAAUAAUUCAAAGUCUUCUUUUAACCAAUUGCUCCAAAAAAAAAAAAAAAAACUUCUUAGCACCAUUGACCGCACCAACCAGUGUGAUGGUAAGUCCAGAUCUCACCAACCCAUGUAGUCUCCAAAAAAAAAAAAUGUAGUAUCCAAGGUUGCGUUUGGAUUGCAAUUUUUGGAGUUUUUGUAGAAAAUAUACCGUAGCGAUUUGAAAUAUAUAAAGUAAAAAAGUGAUUGAAAAAUGUAUUCAUGAAAAACGUACAGAUUUUCUUUUGAUAGAAAAUCUCUUUCCAAACAAGAGCUAUCCAAGAGUAGAGUUACAGAUCAUAAUCUAUCUAAUAAUCUAAUUAUAAUAAAAGAUUGUUAUUUCUUAUCAAAUAACAUAUGAAAAAAAUAAAUAAAUUUUCAAACGGAUCAUAAAUGAGAAAUUAGGUAAGCUUAAACUCAUUUAUUAAAUAGACAUAAAUGAGUUGAUCCCUUUGAUCUAUUUAUUAAAUAAAUGUAAAUGGAUCGAAUCACCUAUCUUUGAUGCAUCUAUGGAAGAGUAUAAUUAAAUUCUCACUAUUUACAACUUAAACUUCUACCUAUGACAAUGCAGUAGGUAUAUUUUUUUAACCCUACCCCAUUGAAUCGGUGGUUAAUUUGUAGUUUUAGAUCCUAAACUAUGAUCAAUGAAAAUAAUACGGUAGACAUGUUUUGGAACUUAUUCCAUACAAUUGGUGGCUAAAUUGUUGUUGUCAACAUAAAAUUGCACAUUGAACAUUAAUGAGACCAUCACUAUAAUUAAUUACCAAGCAUUGAAAUAUUGCUCAAGUAGUUUAACCUUUCUCCAAAAAUUAACGUCCUAUUCUUCAUGUGCGACAAACCCAAAGAUACAAUUUAGCUACUUAAAGGCUUAUAAAAUUAAAAUAAAGUGGAAAUUAAUUGCUUAUCAUCAUAAUAAUUUUAAUAUUAUUGAUUGAAAUUGAAUGAGAAUAAUGAGAACCGAAAUGAAGUGUGAACCAUAUUGGCUCGUUAAUUGAGCCGAGAAUGUGGAAAAGAUGAUCACGUGGUUGGAAAUUGUUUCAUUGGUCAAAUCCUGGAGGCUCGACAGUCAACACGUUCCACCAACCUUUGCCAAAAAUCCCGUGUUUUUCUAAUUGCGUUAUCAGAUUCCACUGAUCCUAUGAAUCCGUCACCAACAACAACCUGGCGUUGGAAUCUUUAUCUAGUAGAAACAAUUAAUGGGUUUGUUUCUUGAACACUAAUCCUGAUUUUUCCAAUUUUCACGCACAACAAAAAGUGGUACUAUAAUAUAAUAAUACUCCUAUUGCUUUUAGGAUUGUUCUUUGGUACUCCCUAUUAGGGAUUGAUGUAAAUCAUUUUUCGUUCGGUUCAUUCACCUUUGAUACAUGUACUUGCGACUUGGUAUCAUCAGCUCAGCUACCCCUAGAUCUACUGCUCACCAUCUAACAAAGUAGAGAAAUACAGUACCACCAGCCAGCAGCCCAUUACUUUAUAAUAAGUACUUUAGUAGCACGCCCUUUUCUCUUUGUGCAGCCACCCAAUCACACCCACUGUCUAUUCCCAUUCUUCGUACCAGUAGUAGUCUGUUGACUUGUGGGAGUAUUUGGGUUUUGUGAAGAUGUCUCUCCUUUCGGAUCUCAUUAACUUGGAUCUCUCUGAAUCCACGCAGAAAAUCAUUGCCGAAUAUGUUUGGUAAGCAGCAGCAUUUAUCUGCAUCUUUUUCUUUUCUUUCUGGGAUCUUUCCAUUUUCCUGCAGCUUUUGAUUGCAUGGUUGGGCUUUUUUUUCAUAUUUGGAUCAAUGGGUUUUUCUGGGAUUUAUUUGAUAUUCAUGAAUCGUGCAAAAUAUAUGAUAUGAUGAUGUUAUGUACCUUAUCAGCUUAUCUGCAUGCAAGAACACAUAAAGCUUGGACUUCUAUGGCUUUUUUCCCGUUAUUUUAUCUGUUGUUUUUGUCCUCCCCCAACCCCCCCCCCCUCCCCCAACAAACACCAAGAGUUUCUCUUUGUUUUGAUGUAUGUGCGGUGUUCGACUAUUGACCCCCAGGAUCGGUGGAUCUGGUAUGGACAUCAGAAGCAAAGGCAGGGUAAGUCCUGUAUUGACUAACAAUGAUUAGUUUAGUCAACCUUUUUUGGGUGUAAGUUUUGAUCUUCUUCAGAUUUUGUUGUCGAUUUAUUUAUCCUGUGAAUCAGACUUUACCUGGACCAGUUAAUGAUCCUGCUAAGCUUCCCAAGUGGAACUACGAUGGUUCAAGCACUGGUCAAGCCCCUGGUGAAGAUAGUGAAGUGAUCUUAUAGUAUGUUUCUUUUGCUUAUGUCGUUUUAAUACCUCAGUGCUUUUUUUGUCUUUUUUACUUUCCCUUUUAUUCUUUUAUUUUAAUUUCCAAGAAAGUAAUAAUUUUUCUCUCUUUUUGGGUGUCAAAAUGUAGUCCUCAGGCAAUAUUCAAGGAUCCAUUCAGAAGGGGCAAUAACAUUCUUGUGAGGGCCUUUUUGUCUAGCACUAGUUGCUCAACUUAAAAACAAUCGAUCUUAUUCUGCUUUAAGUUUCAUUGUAAUUUUUUUUUUUUUUUUAUCGUGAUGACUGUAGGUUAUGUGUGAUGCUUACACUCCUGCUGGGGAACCUAUUCCAACAAACAAGAGGUACAGUGCUGCAAAGAUAUUUAGCAGUCCUGAAGUAGUUGCAGAGGAACCUUGGUACGUUCUAGUAAUUCUUUUUACUUUUACUGAUCUAGAAAAGAUUUUUUUUAUAUUGUUUUGUUCAGGCAUAUAGUUAAUCCAAUGAAAUAAUGCAGGUAUGGAAUUGAGCAAGAAUAUACCUUGCUGCAGAAGGAAGUUAAUUGGCCUAUUGGAUGGCCGAUCGGAGGGUAUCCUGGACCACAGGUAGCGUCUUUGUCUCGUUUGAUGUCCAUUAAGUUGUUUGGUUGUUGUUAUUCAAUAUCGGCUUCCUAUAUCCAAUCGUUUCGAGUCAUAUUUUACCGGUUACUAUCUUUCAGCUUCAAUUUAUGGUAUCUUCUGUACAGAGUUAUUGAUUUGGUAAUUUGUCUAAUCUAACUCACAGGGACCAUACUAUUGCGGGGCUGGAGCUGACAAGGCUUUUGGUCGUGACAUUGUUAACUCACAUUAUAAAGCCUGUCUCUAUGCCGGCAUUAACAUAAGUGGCAUCAAUGGAGAAGUUAUGCCAGGCCAGGUAUAACUCAUGAAUUCAGAUAUAUAUAUAUAUAUAUAUAUAUCUAUCUGCCUCUCGUGAUUUGAAACAAGAAAACUUUAAUCAUGCUUGUGGCCGAAAAGUAUAAAAACUGUCUUUUUUUGCAUAGUGGGAGUUUCAAGUUGGUCCUGCCGUCGGCAUCUCUGCGGGCGAUGAGGUUUGGAUGGCACGCUACAUUCUAGAGGUACUUCAGUUACAGUCCAUACUGACUAAACUAGAAUCUAAAAUUAGAUAUCCACGUUUAAUUUGUUGACGACUAGCUUAUGAUUUGUACUCUCUUUUCCUGUUGACAGAGGAUAACUGAAAUUGCUGGAGUGGUCCUUUCUUUUGAUCCAAAACCUAUUCAGGUUAGAAUCGUGAACUCCAUAGAUCUGCCUGUUUACCAAUUUUAGCAUCUUGUGAGAUUACUGAGAUUGUGAUGUUAUCAUAGAGCUGCUAAUGUUUUUUUCUUUGGUAGGGUGACUGGAAUGGUGCUGGUGCUCACAGUAAUUACAGGUUUGAAGUCCUUUUUAUUUUGUGAAGAAUUACUUCCCUGCAAAUUUAUUUCAAGUAGACUGUUAAAGUCAUACUAUGAGUUGCAUUUAUGCUCUAAGAUGCAAUACUAACCUGUGGCAUAAAACGCUAUUGAUGUUGCUAUCAGUACCAAGUCGAUGAGAAGUGAUGGAGGAUUCGAUGUUAUAAAGAAGGCUAUUGAAAAGCUUAAAUUGAGGCACAAGGAUCAUAUUGCUGCUUAUGGGGAAGGCAAUGAACGUCGUCUUACUGGGAAGCAUGAAACCGCAGACAUUAACACCUUCUCAUGGGUAAAAACUUCUUCACUUCUGAUUCCAUCACAAUAUUGAUUUGCAGCAGUGACUGGUUGUCGAUGAGAUAAUUAGCUGGCAUGGUCACCUUCUUGCCAAUUUAUUUUCGGUUGCUUGAUUUAGAAUUCCAGUGUAUACUUGUUAACAACCAGAAACUUUGCUUGGUAAAGUCCGGACAUUUCCAAAUAUUAUUUCUGUUUCCGGGGUUAAAGUUAACGAGUCUUGAGCACCUUUUUUCAUCUCUACCUUUGUCUUCUUUCAUUAACUGCUCGGUCAUGUCACACUGCUGAGACUGUGUAUACAAUUGACACGCAGGGUGUAGCAAAUCGCGGAGCCUCUGUAAGGGUUGGCAGGGACACAGAGAAGGCUGGCAAAGGUUAUUUCGAGGACAGGAGGCCUGCUUCAAACAUGGAUCCUUAUGUCGUGACUUCCAUGAUUGCAGAAACAACCAUUGUGUGGAAGCCAUGAGGCCUAAACCAUAUUCUGCCGCAUCAUGGAUUUAUUCGCAUUCUUGAACGCUGGAGUCAUUUAGAUGAAGUGUACUCUCUUAUCAUUCUUAUAUAUCAGCUUCAUUAUCCUUUGACACAAAGCAGUGGAAUUUAUUUAGUCCAACGGUCGGUUGGUCCCGGACAUAUGAUUCUUCAUAGGAUUGUUCUUUCUUUGAUAAUAUUUGUUUGCCUCUGUCUGUCCAUCUUUUGCUAUUCAAAUCAAGGGCAAUCCAUUGGUGCCUAGGAAGUAAUCAUAUGCAUAUGUAUUUGUUUCAAGACCUCAGCAUGCAUAAAGUGCGGAUCUUGCCGUGUGUCUCUCAUUGUGGAGUAGGAAUCUGCACUAUGAUGGAUGGAGUAUUGCGUUAGUGAUGCCGGCUGUAUUGUGCUGCUGAAGGGUAAUUGUUCCUGUAUCAUGUGAUAGCCAAGAACUGAACUGAUGAUUAUGAAGUAGCUAACAACAUCCAGGGAGUCACGCUCUCUCUCAACUCUCUAAGACGUUGAUGAAGAGAUUUCUACUUUGGUAAUAUGGACUACGACAUAGGGUCUCGCGUGGUAAACACAAAAAUGAGCGCACAUCCAAGGGAAUUUUCACAUGUUUUUUAUUUUUUUGUUGAAACUUUUUUUUUUUGGGGGUCUUUUACUGCUUAGCCAAAGAGGAACUUAUGUUUGAGCUUUGCUAAAUAGAGGAUAGGCUUUUGUCAGAACAUGGAGAAGAAAUAAACCUCAAGAGUCAUCUGAUUGCGGAGGAAAUAUUGUCAAUCAUCUUAAUCAACAAACAAAUCAAGCAAUCAAGCAAUUGCUUUUUGGUAAACUGGUGGAAUUAUCUUAGAUUCUGGGUGCGUGUUCCUUUGCGCUGUUGAAAAACAAAUCAAGCAAUCAAGUGGAUGGUAAAUCACCAAAGAUUACACCAAACCACUAACCCCACUCAUGACUCAGGUCAAGUUGAAUAAUGCGAGAGUUGAAUAACAAGAGGUCGUGCAUGCCCCAUCCAUCAUUCAGACUUUGGCAAUACGAUGUGGGAUAAUUUCCAACCAAUAUGGCUUGGCAUUGUUUGGUUUUUCCGAUUGCAUCAGGACACGCGACUUUCAUUCCAAUUCCACCGGUCCAACAGUCGCUCGCUUCGCUCCGAUUCCUCCAAUCCCGGGUUUCUUAUGUUAUAGUUUUGAUGAUGACAGAGUCAAAACAAACGGUAACAAUUUCAUAUAAUAAAAAAUUUUAACUCUACCAAUUUCUUUCUUGGACUAAUAAUUGGUCUUACAAAUCUUUCCACAAUGGAUAUUUUCCCCUCUUUUUUUUUAAUUUAUUUUUUGAAAAGACAGCAUGGAUGAAACGGAGUAAGCCAACAUUGAAGUAUUGAAAAUCAAAUUUGUAUACCAAAACUAGGGGAUGACACACUUCAUUAUUGGGUUAGUGGAAAUCAAGAGUGUAAAACAGGAAAAUAAAGCACCCAUUACGGGGUAUUAUUGACAAAGUCCGUGUAAUCGUUGGAUUCGUCCCGGAUGAGAAUAAGAAAUGAAUAUGCAGAGAUCUACCUGGAUUUAUUGUGAUUCCCUUCUUUGUUGCAGGAGUCAUAGAUUAAAGAUUUCAAGUAAAGAAUCGUACUUACAAAAAAGCAAAAAGCAAAAAAAAAGAGAUGCUGAUCCCUUGUCCAUGAUUAUGUCAAAGCUACUUUAUAUAUUCUUGGCAUCUUCCCUCUCUCUUUGUUGAGUUCCAUAGUGCGAAGCUGACUGAGAAUCUAAACAUUACCACGCGCAUUAAUUAUUACGGUUGGUAUGAAAUAUAAAUAAUUACAGUAAUUUUUUAUUGAAAUUUUCUAACGAAUAUCCAAUAAACACUCGUUAAUACACUUAACUUUCACUUAAUCUAUCAUGCAUAUACGUACAUUAAUAAUUACUAUCAAUCCUCACAUUUAUACAUUUUUCCUAAUUAAUCUUACCUUUACAAAAAUUUAACACCUAAAAUAUAUUUUAAUGAGUGCUUAACGGACAUCCGUUGGACAAACCGUUUUUUUAUUUAUUGAGCCUCAAGUUUCAUUCUCCUUUCCCCAAGAGCUACGUGGAAUUUGUAAUUUGCCGUUGUUGAUCCGAAGAAGCUGCAAAACUUUUUUUUUUUUUUUUUUUAUGUACUAAUGACUAGCAGACUUCACACAGCCCAUGCCCACUUAAAAUUUCAAGAGCAUUUAAGUGGAAACUAUUUAUGCUUUCGCAUAAAAUCAAUAGAAGACAAAAGUAGAAUAUUUGCCCACUUAUGUAUAUUACUAAAUACAAGAAUAAAUCUCAAUCCUAUCACUAAAUACUAAUUAGUAAUUACUGAUUAGGUAAACUAACUAUAACUAUACUUGAUGAAGAUAAAAUUUUAAUGGAAUUUGAUACAUUGGAGUUUAGCUUAACAAUUAAAUUUAAAAUUCUUAUUUAUUUCAAUAUCGUAUAAGAAUUAAGAUUAUGAGUUAGAACUUAGGAUUAUGAACCCCUUUUUUCGCAUAUCAUGUUUGUUUGCGUAAGUCGAUUAAUUUUGCUGAAAAACAUAUGAGAUAUUUUAUUUUGUUAUAACAAUUUUUUUAAAAAAAUUAAAAUAUUUAGCUUCUAUAGCAAUAGAUAGGUGAUUAACAAAAAGCAUUACCAACGAAUGGAAAAGAAUACUCUAUAAUGCCUACAACUGUAACAAGCACCUACCAUCCAUCCACCAAUUAAAAACAAUACAUGACCAAGAAAGUUCCUGCAAUACUAUAAACUCCGGUCUUGAGUCCAUAAAAUUACCCCUUAGGCAAGCCUUUGAUGAUAAUACACGGGAAAAGCUUGCAUAGGCAAACCUUUGUGAUAAUACACAAGAACAGCUUUUCCAUUACUAAGUCAAUGUAUAUGCAUAACUGGCGAUACAAAACUGGGCUGUUUAAUGGUACAACAAUUCUGAGGCUUUGGCGGAGAGAUUGUCUACAAUGUACGUGGUAAAAUGUUUACAUCAAUAAGAAUUGCAUUAUCUAUAUUACCAAAAAAAUGGAUGGUGUAUAUUAAUCAUAAACCUAAUGACAUUUGAGUGCUACCAUCAAGGAGAGACUCUGGGAGCUCUAAAAGACCUCGUCAGUUAACACGAGCCCAGAUUCAGGUACUUGCCAUAUGUCAUCGGUAAUAAUGCUGCCGCAUCAAUGUCCACCUCAAAGCGGUGUUCAAUCAUCCACAUUGUAAUAAUUCGACAAGAUCGCACAAAUCCUCCAGAGAAGCAGCAUGAUGCCCGCAAGCUCUGGAAUGGGAGGUGUAUAGGUGUUAUGGUUUGAGAAUGAAGUUUCCUAAUUAUUUUGUCCCGCAAGAAGCAAUUUUGAUCUUAUAUAAGCUAGGAUUGAGUAUUCCACUAGGAUACAGCCAUCAAGCAGGCCUAGAACCUCAAUAGGAAGGUUACCAGAAAGGACAAAAGCAUGAAGAACUAAUGAAGGUUGGAAAGCUGGAACCAGUGACUUCAUAUCUUAAUACAUUUGGAAAAAAAAAAAAAAAAUCUCCCACAUGUUCAUCUUCAGAUCAUACAGGCUGCACAGAGCCUCUACUUUAACAAGGAAAGCCCCUUGGAGCCUAAGCAGCAGAUGAUUGUUAAGGUGAAAAUGUUUUCUUAAUCCCCUAGCUUCAAUUGUCCCCUUUCCAACUAGUUUUAGAAUUCAAACUAACAAUCAUUCUCAUUUUUCAAUCAUUAGAAACUCAAGACAAGGGAAAGAAGGGGGAAAUAAGAAAGGAAAAAGUCCAGGAAAUAUACCUUUAAUGCAAAAACUCCAGCACGUUCAGGCUCUUGAUUUUUACGUUGUUGGCCUGGUCAUUGUUGAUGAGCCACGUCCCAAAGGAAUUACAGUCUGAAGACCCUCAACUGAGUCUUCCUCUUGUAAUAGAUCUGCAGACAAGAAUUCAGACAAGAAUUCAAUAAAUGAUUUGCCAGGAUCAGAUUAUUCCACUUGCAUGUAAUAGACGAGAAGCUCUACAUGUCAUCGUUAAAAAGCAGGUAACGUCAAAAGCAUACACCAAAUGCAACAUUAUGCACUAAACCUUUAAACGACCAAGAUUAAACUCAAGAAGAAAUAUUUGAUUGACCUAAUCCUUAUGGUCUCAGACUCAAGGCACUUACCAACUUGACUAAUUCCAUUUCCUGUAAGAUUAGAUAAAGCAACAUUCAUUUCGUAGAUAUAUAUCUUACCCGAAACUCCUUCUCCAGCCUGAGUACCAGCAACUCCAAUACAAGAAAACAAGGAAUUCUCAUCUAUCUUCAAUUGUUCAUAUGCCAGGUAUAUGUCUUCAAUGUUGGCAGUUUCAUAAAACGAUGUGAGAUCCUUGAUACAAGUGAUGUCCUGAUCAUAGAAAAUAAAGUUAAAACUAAAAGAGUAGCAAGAAACAUAACAUGUUGAAUAACUUGCAAUACUUGACAUUCAUGAACUUUAGCUGAUCACAGGGUGAUUCACUUGUAUGCAUUUGCCCUAAUGAUACCAAGACGAGGUGCAGUUAAAAAAGAUCUUCUCUUGUUUUACCUUCCUGGGUACAGAAGUUGCUUGCAAGUGAGCUAACAACCCUAGCCAAUAAGCAUUUGAUUUGAUUUCAGCUUCAUGUCUCAUCAGCAGAGUUCGUUUUGCCUGUGAACAUGACAAAGUUAUAAAGUAACAGAGACAAAACAUAUACAAACAUGGUUUUAAGAAUAGAAAUUUCAGGAUCAUUAGAGCAAAAUUGUCCUCUCAUUGCACGAAUACUGAUCAACUCAUAUAUCACAUGUGCCUAGUUUUGUUUGAACUUAUGACUUAAACUAUAUCAUUUUAUUUCAAAUGCUUUCUCUCGAUAAUUUUGACUUCCACAAGCUCAUCUGUCUUUUCAUGAAUCAAAACAAUGUUAUCUACAUAAAUUUUGAUUGAUUUCAGCUAACCAGACCAGAGGCAAGGCAAGAAUACAAGGAUUGUGAUUGCAAUCAUUGACCGUGGAGCCCACCUAAUUCACUCCAGAUAUUGCCACAUAGUUGGUCUCAUUAAGAUCAUCCUUAAGACAUCAAUAUAAUAUGUUGUCGGUAUUUUGUUCCCUCCUUUAAAAACAUCACAAAGCAGCCAUAAAUGCUACAUCAUAUUCUUUUCCAAGCCAAUGGUUUUCCGCUUAUCUAAUUGAUGCUUGGAAACAGUUCAUAGUCUAGAUUUGUCAAUCUAUACAUAAAGGGGACAAGUGUAAAAGAUUGGAAAAGUAACUUACCCUAUCCAACUCCCUUGGAGUAAUCCUAUUAGUAUGCAGACCUCUUAGGACAUUUUUGCAAGCAUCAACAGCUUUAUGAACCUGUAUAUUAUUACGGGGAGACUGUCAAAUAAACCAUGGAUAAUAAGAGAAUGAUCUCAUUAGCCCCGUUAAAGCCAAAAAGGUACCUUGCCAGGAGUUGAUGUUACUGAGAUCACAUACCAACCAAGAUUCAGCCGGUCAAACAGGUUCAAUUCAAAUGAUACAUCAUAUGUCAAUCCAAGGGAAUCCCUAACAGUUGUAAAAAGCCUACACAGAAACCAAACAACAUUUUGUUACACUAACAAAAUGAUCUUCCAUCAUGUUCUAGGCAAGAAAAAAUAAAAUUGAGAACAUGGAUAAAGUAAAAUGUGCAAAUGCGAUAGAUAAGCUAGUGAAGGAAAGAUUUUCCAAGGGCUCAAUAAAUAAAAAUGAUAAACAGAGAGGUCAACAGAAGCCAAUCCAAUGAAAUCAAAUGUGCCUAGAAAAAUAUACUGAACCAAGAGCAAUCAUUGGGGAUUACCUCGAAUUUAUGACUUCUGCCAAUAUGCCCAUUGUAAUGGCAAAAAAUAGUGGGUGUCUGCGAAAUCCUUGUUGCAAUUCCUCUCCACUUCUCUGUGACGCCAUAAGUUGGUCCUCCAGUUUCAACUGUUCAUUCGCACCUGGAUUGCAUAUUCACAUUUUUGUUAUUUGUACAUUCAAAAAAGUAACCACACUUCUAGUUAUAAGUUCAAAAACCCAAAAAAUCAUCCCUUCAGCACCAACUAAACUUCGAACUGCAUUACCAUGCCGUUGGCAACGCAAUAAUUCAAUUAUAACUCGAUGUGGAAGAAUAACACGAUUCUACCGAUUUAGAAAGCCUUUCUAAUGCAGUCAAGACGAAGAGAACAACAGUUGAGUUCAAGUUUCAAACAAGCAGCUCACCACUUGGUUAAACACGUCGAUGUAAAUGAGGGAUAUUUAGAACCCUAGGAUUCUAUGUGAAGCUUUUCCCAUCUUCCCAAAUAUCUAUGGUCAACUAGUACAUUGUGAAGUUUUUCAGUGCUUUUCUGCCUAAGGACAUUUCUCAAUUGAUAAUGCAGAGUACUGCAAUGUCUUCUUAAGCAGGAUUCAAACACUUCACUCGGGUUCAACCUCUUCCUUCCACUCUCAAGACUUUCCUCUAGAUCUCAUUUACUCAUUCUACAGGUUCUGCAAGUAUUUACAUGCAUUCAUUCUUCAAAUUAUAGGUAUAAAAUAUGAAGCAACUCAAUUUGGGGUAAGACCAGUCAACAUCAUCUUCCAGGCAGAACUUUCCUACAUGGGGUGAACUCCAAUGAGAUGACAAAAUCUAUAGUUCUGGCCUCUUUCAGCAAGCAGACAAGAUUUUAAGAGAAACUGCCCAGUUUAGUGAAAAAAUCACCUUCAUGGGUAGGAAUCCCAUCAUCAAUAGCUUCAAAAAGGUCUUGCCCCUCAAAAGUAAAACCCCAGCGAUUUGGGGCAGGACCCGCAAUAUAAGCACAUGCCCUCUCAUCAGUGUCCUUGAGAAAUACCUGAUAAAGAUGAAACAACCACCAUGAAAUAAAAUAGACAGGAGGAAAAUUUGGAAGCACAAAGUCAAGCUUCAAAAUAUAAUCAAACUUGUCAAACCAUGCACCCACAGAGCACAGAUCGUAAAGUGUGUGUGGGAGCAAGCUCUACUAUAUUUUAACAGAAGUGCAAAAUACAAUUUUGUAAGUUUUUUUGGCAAUUUGAUUUCAAUAAGGUGAAUUAAGUGUUAGAAUCUUGGUGUCUAGCCUGCCCAGCCAGAGUCCAUCAUUGAACUAACAACCAAAUUCAGUAGCAAAUUUGAAAAAGGCAUCAAUUUCAAGAAACUGUAUUGAUUCUCACUUGUUGAUGUUGUAAAUCAGCAGCUGGGGGUCUGAAUGUGAUAGGCCUGUAACUCUGUGCUCUCUCUAGACCUUUUGUUGCUUCAACAGUACCCAAGUAAUCAAGGAUACAUGACUCAAUUUCAUCCUCUGAAAAGUCACCAACGAUACUCACCUGAUGACAAGAGUUCAAGUCAUCAAACUUGACAACAUGUCUCAUCAACAAUAAAUGAUCAUUGCCUACUUUAUUAACAAAUUUUUCACACACAUUGAAUGAGAAAGAAAACAUAAAAUAAAAUGAAAUAAAAUUCUGCACCUCCAUGUUAUCACAAACAAAUUGACUCAUCACUGCAUCUUGUACACAUUCCAAUGUUAAGUUUUGCAGGGAAUGAGGCGUGGGUUCAACAAAGCGUUCAUCUCCAUUCAGCAUUGCCAACAUGAGUUUGUGCGCAGUUGAACGUUCCAAGCUUUUUGGAAUAGAGCGAUAAUAUGACAAAUACAACUGUCUUGCCCUAUCAAACGCAUCAUCUAGCCAGACACUAUGCUGCAUAUAGGUACAUCAUUGCAAGAAUGAGAAUGACUACAAUACCAUGUAAAAAUUAAAAACAUCAAGCAAGACUAACUAGCAUCGGUUGACACAAACCAACAAUAAUCCAAUAGUAAAUAGGACAGUUACUGACAUAUUUUUGGAAGACAAAUGCUAACAAGAUACUAUCUAAUUUAUCUCCCCCAUCUUUCAUUGGUUUUUCAUAGUUCAGAAAGGAUAAGAGAAAUAGGGAAGUAUCAAAUGUAGAAAAUAAAACAAAUGUGUAACUGAAAGGAAUGACAAAAUUUCUUGCCGGUUUAAUGUCAAACUUGGCUCAUCACAUAGAAAGACGAUUUUAAUUGUUUCUAAUAGACAAGAAAUAAGAGGAAAGACAUUACCUCAAGUACCAUAUGAAGUAAUUGGAAAGCAGCACGCAUCCCAUUGUCUCUUAAGGUAAAACGAAAUUCCAUACAAAUGAAUUCUUCAGUUGACUCCAGUGAGCAAUUUAUAAGGUGGUUUACACAGAAAAGUUCCACCUGAAGAAGCAUAAAGCAUUUUAAAAUGAAUGAUCAAUAAAACCUUGUAGAGGAUUAGUAGUUACACAGACACAGAAAUUCAAACUGCACCACAUUUUCUUAGCUAUUUGGUACAAUUAUAUCCAUUGACUCCCUAAAUAAAUUAAGCUAUAAAAGCCAUAACAGUAUACAUUAAUAUAUCCACAAAAUACUGGAUAUACACAAUAGAAUCUUCAGUGCCAGAAAUUGCUCAGAUAAGCAAAGAUAGGAUAUUGAAAAACUGUUUCUGCUCAAUUAUCAACGAAUUAAAUGAUGAGUAGCACAGGUUUCAUUUCAAUUCCUUUAUUCCAAAACCGGCUGUUCACAUAUAAAAUAUGACUUUGUACAUCAACUCAAGAGCCAAGCUCUAGCUCCUACAUACCUUUAGACAAACAUAAACAGAAUCAUGAGCCUAGUUGAUGUAAGACAACCAAAAUUUUUUCAGCUUGACUAACUUACAACCAUAUGAACAACAAGCACAGUCCCACAGCAACAGCAUCGAAUAGCUUCCAAACAUCAGCAUAAUGUAACCAGCAAAUCGUUCAAGACAAUCAAACACUACGAAUAUCCAAUAUGUUCUAGAAAAAAAGCAGAACUUAACAAAUAUCCUGAAGCUGGAGAAAUACCAAAACCAAUUUCUCAUGAAAGGAUCCAUCAACUAGAGUACAGAUUAUCUGAAUGAUGCAGAGCAAUUUCCAUUAGUAUAAAAGUCAUCAAUUAGGUUUACAACUUGCGUUCUAAAUGCAUUCCUUAAAGUAUUGUCUCUCUACUCCUUAAAAGGAGAACCCGCACAAGAAGGGAGUCGAAUGACAGUAACCAAAAGCGAAGUGCCUACAUCCCAACACAACAUCUAGUUUUCCUUAUCUCCAUAAAAACAUUGAUCUUGUACAAAACUUUGGCAACAAAACUUUAUGCCAAAAUUUACAAAUAAAGACAUCCUUAAGUACUUAAAUGUGGGAAUAGCUUGAAAGAAACAAAUAUAAAAUUCAAAUUCAUAAUAAGGGGUUCAAUUGAACCCACUAGCUUUGAUGUAUUUCUUGCACUAAACAUGUAUAAUGCAACUCUAAAAAUAAGGUAAACUUAAACCAGAAGACGUUGCAUCUUUACCUGUUCUCGUGAAAAGCUACCAACACGACCACCCUCACUCAGAGUUCGAACCCCCACUAUGACAGCUCCCUUCUUCUCCAAAUCUUCAGCAGCUCGUCCACCACCAACUAUAAGCCUCAUGACGCCACACUUUGCUUCACUUUUUGAUAUCUGUGCAAAAUACAAUAGAUGUAUCAACAAGAUGCCAAUUUCAAGAUCCGCAGGCAAAGAAACUGCAAAACUUGAAUGCUUUCUAGAAAACAUCAAAGCUUCACAUUUUCAUCAAAAUGCAAAAAUGACAAACCUAGAUGAAAGGAAAAGGAAGGACAAGGGCAAAGCAAGAAUCAUCACCAGCUGCAAUUGACUUCUUAAUGCUAGAAGUUCUUGUUAUAAAAGGUUAAUGAAUAACACUCCUCAAGAAGAAGUAAAAUGGCUAGUACAAAAACUAACACAAAAAGAGACGCUAAAAUCAGAAAAGAAAAAAUGAAUACCAACAGGUAUCCCCAACUUCAUUUUGUCAAUGAAUCAAAUGUUAUUUGUGACAGAGAAGCAAUUUCAAAAACCUUCAAAUUCUGCAGCAGGAUAAAAACAAGUUAAGAUGCAUCCAUCUUGUUUCAAUUCUAUGAUAUGAAAAACAUAUUAACUCUAACUCUGUGGCAUCUUGGCAUGAAUGUGAAGCUUUACCUUGUAAUUCACAGGAAUUCCAUUGGAAAGUCUCCGCUGCAUGAUUCCUGUUUCUGCAUCAUAGACUUUAGUCUGAUUUACAUCUGGUCCAACAGAAAGAAAUGAAGGCCUACGCAGCAACAUCAAUUCUUGCAGCUGUUUUGUUGUUAUUAAUUCUUUUGGCACCUCAAGCUGCAUGGGUAGACAUAUCAAAUCCAAGUCAAAGGAAAGUAACUUCAUGGGGCAGAAAUGCCCUAUUCUUCUUUAGACUUAGCAGUGCUCAUUGGUGAGGUUGCCAGACGCAGAAGUUGUAACCAAAAUUUCAGCCAGCAGUCUAUACUCGAUAAUUUGAAUAGAAAAAUGAUCCUUAAGGAUGAAGGAGAAAAGUGCUUUUGAUCCAGGCCCUUUCCAUGUAGUUCUAUAUUACUCUAAAGACAGAAUCUCAAAACCAUCGAUAAAGGCAAAUGAGAAAAGUUGUACAGAAGGGGUACCUCUGGCUCAGCCUCUACGGGUUCCUUUAAACCUGCUUCAAUAGCAGCAGUUAUCUCUGUUGGGGUUAUCUUGAAGUCAGUUUCACCCAGUCCAUCCAUGUGUACCUUCAUUGGAACACAAGCAACAAUUGCUGCAGGAAGGGGUGCAGAAGGUUUUCCAAAAUCCGAUAUGAAUUCCAACACUUUUGCACCAACAGCAUUAACCUGCAAGUAGACUGUCUUAGCAAAAUAUUCGGUUCUCUAUAAUGAGCUAACAGGAUAUACUGGGAUCUCAAAGAUCCUAAUAUUUGCAGCAUUUUUAUGACAAAUUUUUGUACUCCAAUGAAAUCUUAUCGAUCAUAAAAAUUUCAAGACAGUAAACCAUUCCAAAAUAAGCCCCAUAUAAAUUGAUUGAUAAGAGGAUAAAUAUGAGGUGCAUCUAUAUCCUCCAAAUAAUAAAAUUUAGCAGACAAAAUUUGCGCCAUCGGGUAAAAUCAUUCAACUUUGAGAUUUACCUCCUCAAGAGUAAUGGUUCCAGCAACAGCAACCAAACUCUCAUGUCCUUGUCUUUGAUCCAUCACUCUAUGGCCUAGAGCAUCACUCUCCAUGAUGAAAUCCAGAUUAUCCACAGAUGAAACGUUGUCAAUCAUAGCAGCCAACUGCUCACUAUCUUUCAGCAGUGCAUCCAAAUAACGGGUCAAUUCACCUUUUGUUACACCAAAUUUUUUAAGUCUACGGACCUGAAUGAUGCACAAUGUGAUAUAACAAAUAUGAAAAAUUCAGAAAAGUAAAACAAUAUCCAUCAUGAAUAAAGGAUGUUACUGUUAAAAGUCAUGUGUUUCGUUUAAGAUGAAAACACAUUGAAGACAUAAGUUCUGCUCCCCAGAUAAACUAUGAUAAUAGAGCUGAACUAUAGCACUUAGACCAAUGAUGUGUGCAUGUCCCUAAUAAAUUCAACAACACCUACUGGAGAGAAAACAGAUGAAGAAAAUUGUUGUGAAUGCUGAAGAAAUUUAGGGUGGGAAAAGCAAACAACCUCCUGAACAGCAACUUUAAUUGCACUCUGCCAGUUUUUAGGUUCAGCAGUCACUGUAAGUGUGGUCACUGUGCAACCUUCCCUUCCAGAAUCACUAUGAUCCAACUCAACCGAAGUAAAUGGUGGAUUUGAACUCUGAAACGACUCAAAGGUUAGCUAGGAAGAAUAUUAUACAAUCAAAUAACCGAAGCUGUAAAACAUGAACAGAAAAAGGAAAAAGAUACAGAAGACACUGAAAAUAACUGAAAAGAGAUGGAUUAUGAGAGUCAAUCAUCAUAAAAAAAGUUGUGUUUCAUGGAAAUUCACAUAACACAAGCAGAAGGGACUCAAAGAAUGCCUGAGCUGGUGAUGAUCUAUUACUACAAACAGUUAAUUCGUAACCUAAUGAAAUACCUAUCUUUGCUUACCAAAAAGUCGCUCAAUUACAUAAUACUAUAAUAGCCUAAUUAAGAAGACCUACAAGUCAUCUCUUUAGGUUUCUUAGUUUCCCACUGGAUGUGAAUAUUUUGACUUUAAGUUAAUAUUAAAAAGACAAAAACCAAAGAUAAGUGCCUCAUAAAACAGAUGGAACAACAAAUAAUGUCCAAUAAGUUGCCAGGUGGACUAAUUUAAUAAAUGAGAUACAAGAGUUUGGAUAAGUCACCACACCUUGUAUCUGGUAUUAAUACGAAAAUGCAGAGCAGAGAGAAAUAUCCUCUUCAUCAGCACAUUACGCAAAUCACCAAAACUUUGAACCUUGUUCACAGGGAUCUGCCACAAAAUAACAUUAGGAGAAAAUUGAUACAGAAGAAGGAUAGCACAAGGUCUCAAUAAACAAAAGAAUGUGAUCAAUUCAAGCUAGAAAUGCUAUCAGUUUAGAUGAAUGAAUACAGCCAGUUAGCCACAUAAACCAAAGUAUAGGAUUCGGACACCAAAAAAAGGCAUUCAACUUGCAACAAAGAAGAAAAGCAGUGACCAGUCCAUCAGCCGGAAGAUACGACUAAACGUAAAUGCAUUUGAAAACAGUUAAAGAAACUGGUUCUGGAAAUGCUAAGCACAAUUCAACGGUACUACAUUUUAGCUGAGUAAGCCUGGUCAUAUCAGUAAUCCUGAAGAGUAAACCUCAGCAAUGGAUUCAUCUUAAAGACUCCUCAAUCAACUUUACCAAGUAAUUCACACUUAGACCAAAAACAGACCCCACAUUUUCAACUUCUCAUUCCUAAGCUAUAUCAACUGUAACUCUUCACUCAAAGUACUCUUCAUAUUGGGAUCAUGAAUAUUUGGGCAAACAACUUAGUGUAGAAAAAGUGUAAGACAUAACUAAUGUGAGCUGCUUUUCACCUUGCAAAACAUAUUAAUUGAGAAAUUCUGAAGCAACUCAUGCUGAAAUAUCUGUGGUGGCUUCAAAGCAUCAUUGCUCCCAGGAAGUGACCAGUUAUGCUGGACAGGAGGACGAACUGCAUGCCUUUCCCUUCUAAAGAUCUUUGAUUGCUCCACAGAACCAGAUGACUUGUCAUGAGCUAGACUACCAGCCAACCCAACAGUUAGCUUAGGCACUAAUAAACUAGCCAUUGCACCAAAAGUACUUGGUGUAGGAGGAACAACUGUUUCACUUUCCACACCAGUCUGACCAAAAACACUCUGCACAAAUUUGCAUGAGUUGAUGUAUCAUCAAAAUGGCCAAAUGGAAAGCAAGAAGAAUGACGUUUGAAGCAUACAAGAAACUGCUACCAAUAUCCCCAUGUCAAGACAAAAAGGAAAAGAGUUACUGUACAACUGAAAUGGGACAUACUUCAAUAUGCUGAACUGUCUUUGGAAUGUUAUCAAUAUCCCCCACAACGUAUAAGGUGGCAUUUCCAGGAAAGUACCAACGUUCAUGGAACUUCCUAAUCUUAUCAGCAUCCCAUUUCUUAAUCUGCUCUUCCAAUCCAAUCGGGAAUCUUUUACUUAGCUUGUUCUCAGAGUGCAAAUAUUGUAACAACUGUGUCAAAAAGAAAAGAUGGAAAACCUUACAAUAGGCCAUUACAGUAGGAAGCAAAUGCAAUGUGGCAUGCCUGUAUAUAAAAUUGCAAUUACCUGACAAUCAACGCGAUAUUCUAUGGUGUUCAUCAUUUGUAGUUCUGAUAAAAUUGCCCGUCUUUCUUUUUCAACUCGAGAAGCCAGAAACUUUGGGUGAAAAGCAAUCUACAUUGAUUAAAAAUUUCAUUAGAUUGAAUACUUUCUUAACCACAAUCAACUAGAAAAAAGGAUCUAUACAUGUAAUCAUACUUACUACUUUGAAGUCAAAAAUUGAAGGAAAUUUCAGUAAAACAUUUGUUUUAAAAAUAGGCCUGCAAGAAUUAGAAUGUGAAAUGUGUACCUCAUUAAGGGCAUCAAGAACAACUGGCAGUAGUUCAUCAUCAGAAUCCUAUAAAACAUGAUCCAAUUAAUUGUCAAAACAUGCAAAACAUUUUAGGCAUACUCAUAGAAAGCAGAGACAGAACAUUGAAUUUGACAUGCUCAAAUGUGGAAUUUAAAAAGCAUAUAAAUGUGCCAGAAAAAUCACAUUGAAAGUUGGUCCAAUACUUCUAGUGUAGCUCAUUAAUACUGGGACACAAACUGACUUCAGUCAGAUAGACCCUGUUCACAAGAUAACUACCAUUCGUACCAUCAUUAACAAAAAAAGCUCUCUCAUUCCAAGCUUCUUAUAUUCUAUGAGACUUUAAUUUUCAGCUCUGUCCAUUUUCUCCUCUGAGGGGAGAGAAAGGAACAUUGAAACGAUGGAUAACUAGAAUUAGCAAACAGUUGUCCAAUGAGGUAAGGUGAAAAAGUUGAUAUCCAGCGCUGUGUAUGCAGAGUGUGUGUGUGUGUGUGAUUUCCAGCUUAAAAAUGAGAUAUUUAGGAUACCAACAACAAGGGGCUGGCCGCACAAUUGUUAUUGUUUAUGCGUACAGACAGAGAUAUAGUCAAGGAAAUACUAGGAUUAAUAUCAAGAUGGCUAAGGAAUAAUUACCAACACCAGGUUACACAAGCUGCAAAUAAAGUUCUAUAACUCCAUACAAGGUCAUUUAUAUUCAAACAAUAAUAAAGCACUGUUUUCAUUAAAGGAAAUUCUUGGAAUAUCAACACUAUUAAGGAACUAUUGCCCAACCUUAGGUUAAUUAAGCUGUAAAUAAAGUUUUAUAACGCCACACAAGUUCACAUAAAUUCAAACCAGAGAACAGCACUGUCUUCAUUAGAAAAUCCAAGUGUACUACUACUACUUCUUGAAGGCAUUAAGACUUGUAAAGUUAAGUCCUAAAUCUAGAAGGCCAAUGAAAUUUUCCCCAUUCGCCACAGGAAGCCCUUUCCAAGCUCCCACCACUGGAGGUCCAGGGCUAAUCAGGCCUCCAGAUGUCUGUCCUGCUUCCCCCCCCCCCCUCUUCCCAAAAAAAGAAAAAACGAAAAGAAUCUAAUUGUGUUUUAUUAGCUUUUUACAAACCUUAGUUCUGGUUGGCGAAUGGAUAUGAAACACAGUGUGAUGGAAAUCAGUAUAUGCGUUGGAUCUUGCCCCUGUUCCAAGAAGUUUCUCUCUCUUCUUACUUCCAAGGAAUGCAACAUGUUCAAUCAUGUGCGCAAUACCUUGCUCAUCCUCUUCCUCAUCAAUUGAACCAACAUGAACUUCCAUGUGUGCCUCAAACCUUAAAGUUCAAGGAGUGUAUAUCAGUACGACUUACAAAAUACAUGAAAGAAAUGGGGGAUAAAGCGACAAUAUUUGCUGCUAUGAAACUACACUUGUUCUCAAAUAUAUGUGUGUGUGUAGGGGUGCGUGUGUGUGUGUGUAUAUAUUAGCUGGAAUGGGAAUUCUAUUUUGAUGGGCUUUCCAAAGCCCAGACAAGUUGGACACCAUAAAGCAUUGCCUUUUUAAUUUAACAGCUAUUGCUUGUCUACAGUUACAACAGCUCAUCCAUGAAAACAGAUUUGAAUGUCGCAAAUCAGAUGCUAGUGAAAGGAAAUUACAUAGUUAAUCUACGAAUUCUUCCAAUAUGUGUGUGUGUGUGUAGGGAUUGUAGCUUUCAUCACCACCAAAUUUGCAUGUUUAGGUUGAAAUGCAAUAUCUAUGCUGUCAAAGGUACUGUAACUAUGCAUCUUGACAAGAAAAUCAUCUGAAACAUUUAUCAUAUUACCUUAUUCACUUUUGAUAAAAUUUUACGUGUAUUGGUUUGUCCUAUAUUAUGUCCUACUGCUUGCUUUCCAUACAUCAUCAAACAUAAAUUGUAAACUGUACACAGAUAUAUAAUUUAGAAUAUACAGACAAGCUAAACAAAACAUAACAUGCAUAUCAACAUAUAAGAUAUAUGAUCAAGCUCAUUGAAUGUGAUGAUUAGUUAGCUUUUACAUAGAAUAUAUCACAUGCAAAUAGUACAUUCUUGAAUCAAAGUAAGAUGUUUGACCAAAAAAGUAACGCAUUUUCUCUUAGCAAAGACAAAACUUGAGGAACACAAAUGUAUCCAUAGUGCAUCAUAACAGAAAAAUAAACCCCCCCCCCCUCCAGACCCAAAAAGAAUUCAAUAGUGAAAUUAAAAGAAGAAAAAGAAGAAAGGUAGAACUCUAGAGUUAGGCAGGGCCAACAUCUGUUGGAUUUCUUUCUCUUAUGUCUUGCUAGGCAAGAAAAAGAAUGUAGGAAUUCCAAGAUAAUAGGGUGUCGCCUGGGAAGUUUUUCAAAUAGGUUCUCCCUAGCUUCUGAACACAAACCUUCCAGUGACAAUCCUUGCCACACCCCCGUACAUAAGGAUUUCUACCUAAGGGAAACAACAAGAACCUCACUCUUAGACACUUCACCAUUAGAGAAGAUGAGUGAGAUUAACCAAACUUCUGAAGAGCAAUUCUUGUUAAUGUGACAAUGACGCCUCUCUUGUAUGACUAAAUAUACAAUCUGCUCUCUUGAUAACACUGAAUUACUUUUGUGCAUCAUUAAAUCAUCAUACACCAUUCCAGAAAAGAAGUACCUGCUUGGAGGAACCUUGUUUGGUAAAAUGAGGUAUCGGAGACCAUUCCUUAAUUGUCCUCUGUGAAGUUUUGGGUGAGAUGGUAGUUCUGAGCUCAAAAAACGCUCAAACUCUGAUCUUUCAAGUUCAGGAUCAUAUAAAUCAAGACCCUGUUUCUCUAGAACACCAUCUGGCCACGUUGUGCUUGCAGCAUGCGGCUCUUCUGGACCAAGAGUUGCACGUGGAACAUUUAGUUGUUUCACCUAAAAUUGGACUUUCCAGUGUUAACCAUACUACGUUCAAAAUCAAAAUUUUAAUCGCUGGAGUUUAUUUAUUGUGCAUACGAGCUAAUAAACCAACAAGAUUCCUAACAAAUGAACAACAUUAUAUGAGAACAAAGCAAUUAAAUCAAAUUGACUGUCGGAUACUAGUAACCAAACAAAAGCACACUUCUGUCUGCAUCAUAUAAGCUAUGUGGAAACAUGACCAACUGUUAUCAAUCAAGUGUCAACACAAAAUUAGGAGUUAGUAAAUAAUCCUUUCUAAUAACACUUAAACGACAAAAAGCACACAGAAAGUAUGAUUAUCGUCAUUCCAUCGCAUAAACGAUCAAAUAUCAUAAGGGUGACAUGCAAUUAAACACUAAGAAACUGAAAAACGCUGAAAAACGCCGUGAACUAAUCCAUACCUUGCCUGCAAGGGAAUUAUCAACGUUCUGCUUCAAGAUAUGAGAUGCAGAUUUAUCAAAGAACGCUCCAGUUCUGAAUCUAUGACCACCAACCCUUUUCUGAUGUGGAUAAUGGAAGCAAGAAAUACAUUUACUCCCAUCCAAUAAGCUCGUUGGGGCACAAGGAAAUCUUUUCAAUGCAUUCUACCAUUCAAAAAAGGGAUUUAGCUAACAAUUUAUUCACUAUUCAGCAAAAUAUACAAAUCAACUGCAAAGACAAUAAAACUUGCACAAGCUAAUCAUCUCACUGUAGCAAACAAGUAAGAACAACAAGAGAAUUAGUUCCCCACCUUGCUUCCACCCUUAAGCUAUAAUUGUCAGCUAUAAUUAAUCUUUAAAAAAAAACUUUACAGCAAUUCUUCCCGCUAAAACCCUUUUUUUUUCUUUCAGAUUACUCAAUCAAAUUCAUAAAAACAGAUUAAAAUGAAGGAACAAUUAAGCAAAAAAGAAGAAAGAAAAAAUCAAACACCUUGGGGGAGAUAAGGUGGGUGCGACUCCAGCGAUGUUUAUCCGAACGGGAGGUGAUCGUGGCCUUCUUCCGGUGAGCCCAAUUCUGAUUAUGAGCUGGGAAUAAUAAAGAACUUGGAGAUGAUGCUAAUGAUGAUGAAGGGUUGUGGUCAGUGGUGUUAACUGACUUGAUAAUUGGGACUGGAGCAAAUAAUACAGGUUUUGCAUUGAAUAUAGCUGAAUUAGUCUGCAUAAUUACAAUUAGUUUUGUUGCUCAAAUAUUAGGGUUUAUGGAAGGGAGACGAAAUUGUUGAAGAUUGAAGCAGGGAGAAGAAGAAGAAGAAGAAGAAGACGACAGAAAAAUUGUUUUUGUUUUGUUUUGUUUUGUUUUCGCCUUUUUCUGGGUUUUGGUUUAAUUUAACGGUAAUACAAAACACGGGGGAGGGGCAAGUGGUGGCGGUUUAGCCAAUUGGCGCAGAUUUUUUCUUUUCUGGAUAUUUCUGCCCUAAUAUGAAAUAUCUCAGUAUGGUACUUACUGCUACUUACUACUACUUUUUAGCUAAAAAUAAAAUAAAGGAUAAAAAAGCCAAAAAGGAAUUAUUCACAAUAAAAAUUUUCCACUUUCAACCUCAUAUGUUUUCUGGAUUCCCAUCUUCUAUAGUCAACCUUUAUUCAGAAUAAAAUUAACUUGAAUUCUUGUCAUGCUCUCGAGAGAGAGCUAAUUGAACUGAAAGGAAAUUAGACCAAUUGAUCCAAAUAAAAAAGAAAGAAAAAAAUCUUGGGCGCUAUUUUUUAUUUUCGUGUGCAGUUUACUAUUCGAAGUUGAAUGGAAUUCCAAGAAGAAUUUUGAUUAACAAACUAUGGACUUCCAAGAAGAUUAUUUGGGAUAAUUUUUUUAAAAAAUACUGCAAUACUUUCUCAAUGUGACGUAGCAUGUAAAAUAGAAAAUAUAUUUAUGAUAGAAACAAAUAAAGGCCUUAUUUGGCAAGCAAGUUAUUUGCCAAGUUUGUCUGUUUCAGGUUUUUUAAUAACUUUAACUACAGCAACCUUAAAAAAUUUUUCAAAGUUUUUAAAUUAUACAUUUCAAAAUAUCCAAAAAUUUAAAUAUUUCAAAAAAAAUUUCUACAAUUUCUACAAUAAGUUACAAUAAAAUUUUAAACAAAUACCCAAAAAACUCACUUGCGGAAGGGAGCCAAAUUUUUGCAAAUAAUCUACUACCAUCCAAACAAACUUGGGCCGAGUGUUUGUUUUGCAGCUCCCCAGCUUUUGGCCAGAGAUGAAGAUGAUGCUGCUGGCUGGGGCUGGGAGUCCAAGGUCAAUGUUUGGUUUGGACCUAUUCAAAUUCCAAGCAAAGAUGUUCCUUUGUGCAAACGCAAUUGAUUCCAACUCCACAACCAAACUUUCUAGGAUUUUUCCCUUUCAUAACAUUGUAAGUAGUUUCAAAGUAAAAAGAAUUAUUAGGGGAUUAAUUAGUGGGAGUGAAAACAGGAAGUGCUAUACGAGAUAAGGCUCUUGAUAAAAAAGCAUUACAUCCAAAAAAAGUGGUUGAAUCAAGUUCAACUUUUGUGUUGAAGUAUGUCACUCCAUAUCCAGUUGCUCUCAAUUAACAUCAUCAUCGUCAUCAUCAUCAUAUACUUGGAAAAAAAUUGAAGAAAACAUGAUUUAUGAGGCAUAAAAUUCUAUGCCAGAAUUUAUGUCGACUAAUUUUCGACCAUUCCUGUUGCCAUGCUUUGUGAGUAAUCUAUGAUACUUCCAGUCUGGUACCCCUAUAAUCAGCACAUUAAAACAAACUUGAUUUAGAAAAGAAGAAGAAGAAUAAACAAAAGCAAGAACUACCAAACAAGAUUAUCCGAAAUUCUGAGUAACUAGUAGUAUUUACAUAGCUAAAGCACUAGCAAAACCCUGAACAGAAAACGAAUACUAACUAAAAAUCCUAUACUGUGCAUGACCUGCCUUAUUAUCCCAGAGGACCAAGACAAGGAGCCUCUGAAACUACCGCCGUCAUAUGACAUAUAUAUAUAUAUAUCCAGUUAAGCAUGACGACCAGAAAAGAAAAAAAAAAAAAAAAACACCCAUCAUGAAAUAUGAAUCCUCAACAGUGAUGACUGCUGAUGAUGGGUUGGCCGAGUCUUGAUCUUGAAUGUUGUCUAGCGAAUAUCUUCUGAUCACGUACGUUCACGGCAUGGCCUCUCAUGAUCUCGGGCUGCAGCCAAGGCGACCACUCCAAACCAUCCUUCUCUGAUUCUUGAAUAAUCUUCUUCACUUGAUUAUGAACCACUGGAUAACGAUGAUCAUGAUUUUCGUGAUUGAUAGCAGUAUUCCCCUCUUCCCUCUUAUUGCUGCUCAUGAUGAUCUUCUCUAAGCAAGGCACUUGAAAAAGAGAAAUACAGUUUAGGGGUCCAGGGAAGACAAGGAUUGGGGACGGUUUGGUUUGUUUAUAUGAGGAGAGUCGUAGGUGAAGAGGGGAACAUAAUUCUUAUCUCUUUCUUUGGAUUGUUUCAGUUUGAGACGACAGGGACGACUUUUGUGGACCUCUUUAUAUGUAAUCAGCCACUUGAUGAACUACGUCACUGAGCAGGUGAAAACUUGUACAUGUCAAUAAAAAGUGUUUCUUUUUUGGGUAUAUUUUGGUGUAUUAUUUCUUUAAUUUCUUCCCUUUUUUUACCCAUGAUUGAAAGGCAACAAUAAGGAAAACUUUUUUUUUUUUUUGGGUAAGGUUCUUUUAAAGAUAAAUACUAGUUAUUGCAAGAUAUUGCCUUUUGCUUAACAGAAAGGGAUCAGGGGCGGGGUAUCAGCUCUUCUGAUAGGAAGGAAUAAUUACUGAAACCAUGAUGAUGACAGUCACCGGAUUCGAUUUCUACAUAAUAUAUGCGUUUUAGAGCUAUGAUUGAACGUAUGAUGCAUAAUAUUUAGCUACAAGCUUAAGUACCCAACUAUAUAUUUAGUUACGGUUUUUCUAUUGGCUCAAUUGGAUCCUUUUAAAAUAGGUUAUAGUAGGUAUAGAAUAAACUAUUGUCGACUGUCGAAAUAUAUAUAUAUAUAUAUAUAUAUACACUUGUAAUUGUUAUUUUAGCUACUACUAUUUACUAUGCAUUAUGUUUUAUUCAGUUUCUUGCAUGCAGAAAAUAAAUGCAUUAUUUGGCAUUUACACAGGUUGAUUACUUUAUAGGCUGAUACAAAACUACGGUCCUCUUGUUUUGAACCAACCAAGGGGGUUAAAACCAAUUUUUUUAAGAAAAGCCUUUCAUCUAGACUCAAAAAUGAGUUUUUUUUUUUAAAGUAGUGGAGGGGAAUUUAAUAAGCGGGAAAGAGGAUUAAAAAAAAAAAAAGGAGUUUCCAACACAAAUUUCCAUCUUAAGUUGGACACGAAACUUCCAAUUGUUCUUACUUGACUUCAAAAGGUAUAAAUAGUUGUGAACUAUACAAAAAAUCUUCAAAAAUUGUUUGAUAUCUAUGGCCUUAAUGAUACAAUUGAUUUCCUAAUAGAAUUUUCACAGUUCUUUACCUAAUGCUCUUUCCGCGAAGCACUCUGGGAAUUUCGCAUUCAUGUUUAUGGUCAAAAUAAAUCCCAAGUAAUUUGGGCAUCUUCAAGAUAUUUCUUGGAUGCCGUCGCCGCUAAACCGAAUUGAAAAGGAGUUAUCUUUUGUCGACCAAAGAAAAGUAGGCUUUUCCUUGGUCGCAGUUGGUGAGAAUCUCUUCUUAACUUAUUUAGGGCCCGUUUAUCUAUAAUAAAUACUUUUGUUAAUAAAAAUUUUAGUCAAAGCAUUUAUUAAAUGCUUAAUCAUAUCGUUUGGUUGCAUAUUUGCAUAAGUAUAUUUUUCCUAUUUGAUACUGUGUUAUUUUAAAUUUCUAAAACACAUUUAUCUCUUCAUUUAGUUUAAAAUUUAUAAUAAAAUUGUUAAAUUAAUUUUGCAUUUUUUAAACAUAAAAGUUGCUCUAAAAAUACCAAUUUUAAAAUCAUGCCAAAAGUGCUUUAACAAUUCGCUCCUAAAUUUUAAAAAUGAUGGUCACCAAACAUGUUAUGAGUACGUAUAUUCUCCAAAAUUACUUUUUUAGCAAAGUCAUGGCAAACAUGCCUUAAUCUUUUAAAAAGAAUAAUUAUCAUAGGGCGGUAAGGCCUAGUACGUGUCUGUGUGAAGUGUGAACUCAUCGACUAUUUUCAAGUCCAAAAAGAAAAAAAAAAACAGAAGAACAUUUAUUCCCCUAAAGAACACGUAAAAAAAUAAUACUAAUACUAGUGGUUUUGACUGUUAGACCUUCUUAGUGCUUGACAUUUUGACUGUUUAGACCUUUCUCAGUGCAUACCCAAAUCAUUAUUUGAAUAGUCACCUAUCCUUCUAGAUUACUUCUGCUUGCCGUUUCAUUUUUUCUUUAAUUAAAGAUUGUGUUUACUGCCUCCUUAAUUUCACGGGGUAAAAUUUUUACUCUCCAAAUCUCUAGUUUACCAGUGACUAAUAUGAAUAUGUAACAUCAAUAGUUCAAAAUUGAGAUCAGUUAACGAGAUAUCAAGUCAACGGUUAAUUCCUUAUAUUUCUUCUGUUAUGUUAUCUAGAAAUAUUUUCCAAAUCUUGUUCCCAUUAAAUUUGUACAAUUGUGUUUAUUCAGUCACAGGGGAGGUAAGCCCAUGAACCACUUCUUGGUUCCUGCGUAUCAGUGGGAUACGAUAAAAAUUUCAUAUUUUUCACCCUUAAUUUGUUAUCCCUUUCAAAUAUAGAUCCGAUCAGAGCUGCGAUAAGUUUACAAAAAAAAAAAAAGCGUUUUUAAACACUAAGGGUGGUUUUGACAAAACUAAAAUCUGAAAUCUGAAAUUUAAAUCAAUUAAAUUAUUGAAUUAUUAAGUGUUAAAUCUAAUACAUUUGAGUGCAUAUCACAUUCACUGAUAAGUAAAUAGGUUAUCACUUAAUUUUGGGAGCAAAUUUUGUCUCGAAAAUUCACUGUCAUUUAAUUAAUUCAGAUGUUCAAUUUUUUGAUUAUCAAACAGUUUGAAUAUGUUAAGAUCUGAAUCCAUUAAAUUUAAGUGCUGAAUUGGGCUAUCAAACAAGGCCUAAAAAUACUUCUAGAGUGCUUGAUUGUUAAUUUUUCAUCAUUUAAAUAACUAAUAUAAAAGCAUUUUUGUUAAAAGCAGUUGUAUCAAAAACUUUUUUUUUUAUACGGUAUCGCAGCCCCAAACAAUUGCAUGUACAUGAUGCGAUAAAAAAAGACUUCUUAGUGCUUUUCUUUGAACUUACCUUGGUACUUACCAGGCCUUUUGACCCCAGUCAAGUCAACACCUUGUCAACCCAUC